rnacentral:lncRNA from 1 species
GAGCUUCCUUCGUUAGGAUCCGUUUGGUUAUUCUAUUAGCAAACGAUGCACUGAACAAAGAAGUUCGGUCCGUCGACAAGAAAGGUGUCAAUAUGUGGCAGUACUAGACUGUUCUUUGAGCGGUUAAUGAAGUUGGAUUUGGAUGUACUUCAUCACAGAGGGAAAAAACGUUGGAAGUACUUCUCUAUCUCUACUCAACAAACUUAAGAUUGGGCGUCAUCUCUACUAUCUCUAUUAUACCUACACUAAAACAAAUCUCUGCUAUGCCUUGUAAAUUAGAGUUGGUGAUGGUGGUGAUAAAUUCACUCCUCACUUCACACAUAUCUCUCCCGUCUAUCUACAAAAUGCAUGAUGCAUCAGACCCGACGUGUUUGGUAGACUGCAGCAACUGGGCCAGGCUGCAAGAGGAGAACGAGCUAGGAAGGCCUGGGUGCUUGGACUGGCGCUUAGUGGUUGUUUGGAUAUAAGAGAUUAGCAAUGAGAUUAUAGAAAAGGACUGUGCUAACGUCCAUAUGUAUGGACUAUAAGCGAUAGAUCCGCAUGAUUCAUCUAUGGUAGCUCAGACUGCUGUUACUGAGUGUUGAUUUCAUUGUUAAUACAAAAACAAACACAUUCAGUCUAAUCUUUUCCCUAAUGGCUGCAUAGAUGCAUAUAGGAUAAAAACUGCUGCUGUCAUCGAAGAUUUCAUCAAAUUUAAAAUUUUAAAAUGUUUUGUAGGUCAAACCGUCGCUCACAUUGGAAAAUUGUUUUCACAUAAAAGAUUCGUCACGAUGAGACCUUCAAAACUAGAUCCAAUACCACAUGUUGAUAUGUUUCGACGACUUUUUUUCGGAUAAAAAGUUACCAGGCAUGUGCGACAUAAGUUAUGACAACUGCACACAUAAGUUACCAAGUUGUUUUCAUAGUAACUACUAGGUAUGAAAUUAAAGAUGGUCUUCCAACUUUUCUUUCCACGUACACAUGCAUAUAUGCACUAGACGACAAAACUAUGAUGUCAUUCUAAAUUCUUCCCAUUUCGACUUUUCAAAAUCUUUUAUAGCUCAAACCGUCACUUUGAUAAAAAAAUUCACAUAAAAGAUAAGAUCUUCGAAACUAGAUCCCACGUUGGUAUGUUCCAACGACUUUUUCCAGAUAAAAAAUUACCACGCAUGUGCAACACAAGUUACCAUGCCAGUUGAGCAUAAGUUAUCGUGUUGUUUACACAUAACUUACCAGGGCAUAAAAAAUGAUUUCUUCUACAUUCUCCACACAAGCACAUUCGUGCUCUAGGGAAGGAAAAUGCUAAUGUCAGGGAGGAUCUCACCGAAACUUAAAAAGAAAAAAUGUUUUGUAACUCAAACAGUCGCUCCGAUACAAAAAUCAUUUUCACAUAAAAAAUUCAUUGCGAUGAGAUCUUCAAAACUAGAUCUCAUGUUGGUAUGUUUCGAUAACUUCUUUCGGUCAAAUAGUUAUCAAGCCUGGGUUAACUAAGUUAUCAACUCUCUUGUGUGUGUAUGACUAUGUUAUUCACACACGAGUUACCGAAGGGUGUUUUUCAACAAGCCCCCCCCCCCCUCGGAUCAAAAGUUAUCACACCUAGACUAAGUAAGUUAUCAAGUUAGUUGUUCAUAUACCAUAAUGUUACUUAAUCAUGAGUUAUCGGGCCAAUGUUAUCAUCGUGGUUGUACGUAAGUUAUCAGGUNNNNNNNNNNNNNNNNNNNNNNNNNNNNNNNNNNNNNNNNNNNNNNNNNNNNNNNNNNNNNNNNNNNNNNNNNNNNNNNNNNNNNNNNNNNNNNNNNNNNNNNNNNNNNNNNNNNNNNNNNNNNNNNNNNNNNNNNNNNNNNNNNNNNNNNNNNNNNNNNNNNNNNNNNNNNNNNNNNNNNNNNNNNNNNNNNNNNNNNNNNNNNNNNNNNNNNNNNNNNNNNNNNNNNNNNNNNNNNNNNNNNNNNNNNNNNNNNNNNNNNNNNNNNNNNNNNNNNNNNNNNNNNNNNNNNNNNNNNNNNNNNNNNNNNNNNNNNNNNNNNNNNNNNNNNNNNNUACCACGGUAUUUGAACGUAAGUUAUCAGGUCCGCGGUUCCUAUAUUAUAAUGCUAUUUACACAGAAAUUACGGGGUAUACUUCAACAAUUUUUCCCGGGUCAAAAGUUAUCAUAGUGUUCGUACGCCUCAUUGGCUCAUCGAGAAAUUGUCCUCAUUAUCAUUGUAGUGUUCAAGGGGGUACAACAAAAGUGUAUGUACCAUGUGAAUGAUACAAUGAAGAAAUGUAGCAAAAAAUCAUGAUGAACUGAUAGCUUUUAUACCCAACAUUAUGCAUUUGUUUUCUUGUAAGUGUUCUUCCUACUAAACGCAAGAAAUUGGGGGUAAAAAAGGCCUCAACCUAAAAUACUAACAGAGCAGCCAAGCCAUUUGACUAUUAAAAUGAAGAAAAAAUAGUAGGAAAAAGAAAGAAAAUUCGGUGAAAAAAAGGAAAGAAGAAAAAGGACACUUUAUUAUUCACACCACGUUUAUUACAGGUACAAAAGUUACAAAAUCUGAAUUUAGUCACGACCUCAAUUUAGUCUUGGUGGUUAUGUGCACUGCAAGAUAACAAGGAUGUCCUGAAUCCGUCCAAUCCGAAUCUAACAGCAUCAGAAUCGUGCGGAUCUGUUGCAAAAUUACAGUCGGCAGGAAUCUAGCUUUCUCGUAUAGAAAAUGCGUUUUAAGCCGAUUUCUAGGAAAAUCGGCUUUAUCUACGUUUUUAUGAAUAAUCAGUUUAUGAAAAACUAUGUUUGGUUACGAAGGUAGAUAGCCCCGUGACUAGUUAAUCUUUGCACAUCACUUUGCCCAAAUUGGCCUCCAUCGCUUAUCCAUUGAAGAACAAGGUAGGAAGGCCUGGGUGCUUGGACUGGCGCUUAAGGAAAUUAAGAAAAGGAUAAUCGCGUAGCAGCGGCCGUUAGCGUCUUGUCCUCCAACGCCAGCGAUAAGGUAGAGAUGCUUAGGGCAUCUUCAACGCUGGAUGCUUGGAGAGGAUUCCUUUCCUGUUAAAUUCCUGGUCGUUCGGCGGUUGAGGCCGUCAAAUUCCAGCGCCGGGCACUGCAUCGACGCAAAGAGAGGCAUCAGGCGCUUCGCUCCUUUCUCUACUGCAUGCGGUGCAUGGCCAGUUCAAAUUAGCAUCCAAUUAGCAUCGGCUGUUUAGCAUCUCGCGUUGGAAGACAUGGAUGCUUAGAUAUUUUUUAAUUUAAUACUAUUUUCUUCACGUCUAUAAGCGCCUGGACAAGCGUCGGGCAUGGUACAUGCCCUUAUACGACACAUGCUUGAGUCCUUGCACAGAAGAGAAAAAGGGCUAGCGCCCGGUGGCUGAUUUUGCGUCAACGCUUCACAAUUUCCUCGGAUCGAACGGGAUUUCGCUCAAACGGCUGGGAAUCAGAUCCUGGCGCCUGUCUUUAGCGCCCCAUCUACAAUGGAGGUACUUCCUCUAUAAACGAAUAUAAGAGCAUUUAGAUCAUUAAAAUAGUAAUCUAAACGCUUUUAUAUUAGUUUACGGAGAGAGUACUUAGCACGGGCGCUAGGAUCUAAUUCCCGGUAGUUUCAAUAAAAUCCCAUUCAAUCCCAGUAAAUCAGCUAGCGUCGGCGCAACAGGAGUCACCGGAUGCUAGGGGUGUUUCUCGUUCUUUUUCUACUUUGUGUUGCGCCCAUAUAUUAAUUCCAGCGUUGGAAGCAUGGACGCCAGACCAGGCGCUAAGACAAAGAAUAUUUAUUUUCUUUUCAUAAGCGCCUGGUUAAGCGCUUAAGCAUUGUAAAUGCCGGGUAAUAUAAUUAGGGAGUCUCGAACCUCGCACCUGCCUCUAUAUGCAAUUCAAUCGAAUCAACAACUGACUACUCCGUACUCUUUCCGUUCCUAAAUAUUUGUCUUUGUAAAGAUUUCAACAAAUGACUAUAUACGAAGCAAAAUGAGUGAACCUACACUUUAAAAUAUGUUUACAUAUAUCCGUAUGUUGUAACCAUUUAAAAUGUCUAGAAAGACAAAUAUUUGGGAACGGAGGGAGUAGUACCUAACUGAUGUUUUGAACAAGAAAUAUUCUAUAUAAGUACUUUCUCCGUAAAAAAAUUAUAAGAGUACAUAUUAAUAGUUUUUUUAAUCGCAACAUGUCCUCCAGCUGCUCUCCUCCUAAUAUCCAUCGCUCUAACUUUCAUUUUUCAAAAUCCGGCCAUGGCUUUGCCGCUACAAAGUAUUGUAUCAGUUCUUCCAUGGCCCUGCAAUUAUGCAAGUGCAGUGUUGCAUAUCUGCUCGAGUUUGUCUUCUUAGCAUUGCAAAGUGCAUUGGUUUUGGUAUACUACUAAUCCAAUUCAACUUUAAUACAAGCUUAUGCUAGUGCAAGUCUGAUAAUAGCAGAAGUUUUGCAAUGCUCAUAUAAAAAGAGAAGCCCGUUUUAAACCUUUAACUCUUAAGGUCGGACUGAAUUGAACCCUAAACUCCCGAUCCGUGAAAUUGGCGGCCUGUACUUAUUGAUGCAAGUCAAUAAGCAGGCUAGCUGACGAGUGCAUGUUCAAUUUGGCGAUGACGUGUAGUCGAGGAGGACGCGGGCAACAACCGCCCAGGAGGUCGGCGAGAGCGUCGACCGAAACAAAUGGGAUGCAGCGAGAGGUUUUUUUUUACGGAACCUCGUCAGAGGGCGGGGAGCUCCCGCAUUGCAUUAAGACAGCGAGAGGUUAUUGGUGGUCGUGCCUUGCUACGUUGCAUGAUCAAUCUUGGAGCAGCCUUCUGUUGGAUUGUCCCUCGAGCACGAGAUUGGGAAGGAUGUAGGGCCUUGGUCGGGAACACAAUGUGUCUAUGUUGGAUGGGAUUAGUGAGGCGGAUUGGAAUAAUAGAGUGGAGAUAGGUGCUGAUGACCCGGAGUUGCAGGGGAUGAGGCCACACAUACCGCAUCAUAUAAAGGAGGCUAUACAUGGCAACAUGCUAUGGUUCAUUGGACACCAGAGUAGCUCUAUGACAAAGGCCGACAAUAAGAGCGACAAACUGGCGGGCCCAAGUCGGAGGUGGGUACAAUGUGGCAUCAUCCAUGCUCGAGCCCUAUCCGUGGCAUAGUAGUUGAAGGGCGACAAGCACGAGCAUGAACGCGUUUGGCCCACCAACGAUGAUGUCGUUGGCCUCCUUAUCGGAGACCACCUCUAGUCCCUUCUAGUCUACCAUAGUGGCCAGUGGCGGAGCCAGGAUUGGCUGACGCCCCAGGUGAGAAACUAAGUGUAAAAAAAAUCCAGUUUCAAGCAUAGUUUUAAAUAGCCGGCUAUAGCCCCGCUAUAGCUCCGCUAUAGCAGUUUGAGCAUGUUGCCGCUAAAUGAUUUCAUGUGCAAUUUGCCGCUAUAGCCUCGCUAUAGCCCAUCUAUAGCUGUUUUUAAGGAUCGCCGCUAUAUGUCAUAUCCCGCUAUUUAAAACAUUGGUUUCAAGGCAUAUAAAGUUAAGUUAUAACUAAUAAAAAUCCAAACACAAUGUUCAAUGGCGGUAUUUGUUCAUUCACAGUUUAACUAAUAAAGUAAGACAUAUUAAAAGACAAUAUCUAACAUAUAAAUGAUACAAAAGACGGUACCAAAUCAAAGGAUUGAUUGAUAUGAGCCUCCUAUGACUGCAUGUUCAAUAAAGAAAGACAUAUGAUGUCUCUCCUCCAAGGGCGACUAGGGUUCCUGCCGCCCAACAGCAGCGGCGGCGCCAUUCUGCCUCGUCCCCUGUGGCUUUAGUCCAUGGGGCGUGGUGGAUCCCGGCCCUUGCCGGCGGGAGGACUCUGUUUUUAGACAUUUAUUUGAGUUUUCUGGGGCUUAUGUCCUACUCAGGAAGCGAGAUGGUGGCGUCUCCCUAAAGAUGGAAUCAGGUUCUCCCUACCUAGCCCCCAUCCUGAUGGUGCAGUUGGGAAACGUAGUAAUUUCAAAAAAUUUCUUACGCACGCGCAGGAUCAUGGUGAUGCAUAGCAACGAGAGGGGAGAGUGUUGUCUACAUACCCUUGUAGACCGUUUGCGGAAGCGUUAUAUCAACGCGGUUGAUGUAGUCGUACGUCUUCACAAUCCGACCGAUCCAAGUACCGAAAGCACGGCACCUUCGAGUUCUGCACACGUUCGGCUCGGUGACGUCCUCGCCUUUCUCGAUCCAGCAAGAGGGGUGAAGUAGUAGAUGAGUUCCGGCAGCACGACGGUGUGGUGACGGUAUUGGUGAAGAACAAUCUCCGUAGGGCUUCGCCUAAGCACUACGAAAACUAUGAUGGAGGAUAAACUAGAGGGGACGGGGUUGCCGGCACACGGCUUGGUGUUUCUUGAUGUGUCUUUGGUGCUAGCUCUGCCCCUCUAUUUAUAUGUUGAGCCCUGGGGUCGAAACUUGGAGCAAAAGCCUCCUCAAAGUCGAUUUUGUCCGAAAGGCAAGAGUCUCACUCGGACUCCAGGACCAAACGCCACAAUCCUUGGCGUCUGGCCUAGACGCCAUGGGCCUCGGCGUCUGGCCCAGGGCCAGACGCCAGGGUCUCCGGCGUUUGGCCCCCUGGCCUCCGCAAAACUCUUUUUGCACCGACUUAUAGCCCCAUGGGCCUGACCCCUUGGCCAAACUAUAUCAUUCAAUAUAUGAAUCUUUACCUCCGGACCAUUCCGGAGCUCCUCGUCAUGUCCGUGAUCUCAUCCGGGACUCCGAACAACAUUCGGUCACCAACAUACAUAACUCAUAUAAUACUAUAUCGUCAACGAACGUUAAGCGUGCGGACCCUACGGGUUCGAGAACUAUGUAGACAUGAUCGAGACACCUCUCUGGUCAAUAACCAAUAGCGGGACCUGGAUGCCCAUAUUGGCUCCUACAUAUUCUACGAAGAUCUUUAUCGGUCAGACCGCAUAACAACAUACGUUGUUCCCUUUGUCAUCGGUAUGUUACUUGCCCGAGAUUUGAUCAUCGGUAUCUCAAUACCUAGUUCAAUCUCGUUACCGGCAAGUCUCUUUACUCGUUCCGUAAUACAUCAUUCCACAACUAACUCAUUAGUUGCAAUGCUUGCAAGGCUUAUAGUGAUGUGCAUUACCGAGUGGGCCCAGAGAUACCUCUCCGACAAUUGGAGCGACAAAUCCUAAUAUCGAAAUACGCCAACCCAACAAGUACCUUUGGAGACACCUGUAGAGCACCUUUAUAAUCACCCAGUUAUGUUGUGACGUUUGAUGGCACACAAAGUGUUCCUUCGGUAAAUGGGAGUUGCAUAAUCUUAUAGUCAUAGGAACAUGUAUAAGUCAUGAAGAAAGCAAUAGCAACAAACUAAACGAUCAAGUGCUAAGCUAACGGAAUGGAUCAAGUCAAUCACAUCAUUCUCCUAAUGAAGUGAUCCCGUUAAUCAAAUGACAACUCAUGUCUAUGGUUAGAAAACUUAACCAUCUUUGAUCAACGAGCUAGUCAAGAAGAGGCAUACUAGUGACACUCUGUUUGUCUAUGUAUUCACACAUGUAUUAUGUUUCCGGUUAAUACAAUUCUAGUAUGAAUAAUAAACAUUUAUCAUGAUAUAAGAAAAUAAAUAAUAACUUUAUUAUUGCCUCUAGGGCAUAUUUCCUUCAGUUGCGUCUAGCAUUGUCGGAUAGGGUGUGGAGGUGUUUCUUCAGCGGAUCUCACACAAUUCAGUCGGUGGUUGUAUUUGAUGCGCUUGUCUUAUAAGGCCUUAGUACGACGACUUCCGACUAUCUACUACAUGCCAGCUCCGGCGAGGGAGGGCGAUGACGGCGGCAUAAUUUUUGACUCGCUUCAGUGCUUGUAGUCGUCGUUAGGUGGUUUAUAAACUCGAAUGUAAGUUUUAUUAUUUUUAGUGUUCAUUGUACCGCUAUAUUUGAAGAUGAAUAGAUUAAAAGUUUUCCGGCAAAAAAAUUAUAAAUUUUGAAAUACAAAUCAGUGUAUUCAAGUAAUUUUUUUAAAAAAACUUAGCAGGUUUAAUAACAAAUGCAAAAUAUGAAUUACUAAAUCGGAUUCCACAUUUAUCUUCUCUGCAGAACAACAAAAGUAAGUAAAACAAUAUAAAAAGGGAAAGAAUUAAAGAUCAUGUUUGAAUCAAGCCUCAAAUAGUGACAACUAGCAAGAGAAAUUCCCUGCAAAAAAACUAGCACGAGAAAAUGGGAUUUGAAAACAGUGGCAACUAGCAAGAGAAAUCUCUUCAUCAACUAGCCUAAGAUGGGUUAUCUUCCUUUUCUAGACAAAAAGACUCCCGUACGCAACGCACUAGCAGCUCAGGCUUUUGUGUCUUUCUUGUUCUCAUUCACUGGCCAGUGUUUUGUUCAAUGGCCCGGCAAGAGGGGUAGGAAGUGGGCUGCGCCCCAGGCCAGUUUUUUUGUUCUCUAGAUAUAUAGGCUGAGAAAUUUUUCACGCCCCAGGCCAUUGCCUGGGCUGCCUGGGGCCCAGAUCUGCCCAUGAAAGUGGCUAUGGAGAGCCUCCGCGUACCUGUUUGAGGUGAGGUGUGGCUUCGAGGGGGUAUGAGGAUGUGGCGGAUCUGCAGGGAGUUGCCGGUGGUACAUGAAUAUGACAUAUGGGGCCGUGUAGUCACUAAGAGUGGUGUGUGAUCCCAAUUUUCCCAUGCGCCAAACAGCUACUUGGUUGACAUUGUCGGGUAUCAGUAAGUUAAAAAAGUGGCAAUUUGAGUAUUAGGAGUUCAUUCGAUUCAAAUUGACUCCACGAGUUUGAAGGUUUAAGAGUUUCCUCGAUAACUAUAAAGCACCAAUAGCCAGUGACCAUUCGCCAGCCGGGAUGACAUUUGCGAACGACACGGCUGAACAGUUUUUGAAGUGGGGUGACAUUUGCAAAACUGCAAUGGCAACGUUUAAAUCGCGUGACCUUUUUAUGUAAAUUCGUAAAGGCUGCAAUGGCAUUUGCCAUUGACUAUUUUUCUUUUGGGUCAUUGCAAAAAAAAAACAAAUUCUUUUUACCCAUGGCAUUUUUUGUGCUUUAAAAAAGUCUGAUGACAUUUUUGUUUUGUAGCACAGGAAAAUCCGGGCUUUAAUCUGGCACAGCAAAAACCUAGUUGGGCUUUUUUCGCUGGAGUACGAAGAAGCCGUUCGGUCUGGGAGUCCAAAGAGAAAGGAAACGGGAGAAGUUCUUUCACGCACGAGGGAAAAAACAGCCGCAGAAAAAGAAAGGGGGAGAAAAGCUAGAGAAGUGCCCACGUACGAGAGAAAAACAAACCACGGAUAAGAAAAGGAAACGGACAGCGCUACGAUCGGGAUCACAUGGUACGAGUACGAGACUAGAGAAAAAACAAACUUCUAGAAUAAAAAAAAAGGAAAACGGGAUUAGGGAGAUCGACGGGGAAGGAGAAUCGCGCUAGAUAAUCGGACGUGGGACGAGGCGUUCGGUACUUUCACACACACACAAAAAGAUUUGGUGUGCGCCGUCGCCGUCGAAUCAAAUCUAAAGCGAGAAGCAGCGCCCGGGUGCUUGGACUCUGAAUUUGGGAGCGAUGUCGUUCGCUUACAAGUUCAGGUACAUCGUCGUCGGCGACACAGGUGCGUGCCCUUCUUCUCGACCCCGCGCCGGCGCGCUCCCGAUGUCCAUCUGCUCUCUUUCGUUUCUAGUCCAUCGUGCCCUGAUUUUAUCAUCGGUUUGUUGCGUGAUCUCGUACGCGAAUCCACUUCCGGUUAUAAGUAGAAACUCGAGAUCUUGUUCGUUUUUCAUCGACGGCCGCCGUCCAACAACGUGCUGCCGCGCGGCUCGGAUCGUACUUGCUAUAUUAUGGCUACAGUUUCGAUCGACGCAACUGUAGGGUUUUAUCUUUUCAGUAGAAAGCCUUGUAUAUGCUUGCGUUGGCCUAGGCCAGAAGCCAAGAAGCAACCAUGACCAUGUUAAUUAUGAAUUUGCUGUCCCAGGAGUUGGAAAGUCAUGCCUCCUGCUGCAGUUCACCGACAAGCGGUUCCAGCCCGUGCACGACCUGACCAUCGGCGUCGAAUUUGGGCAGCGGAUGGUCACCAUCGGCAAGAAGAAAAUAAAGCUUCAGAUCUGGGACACGGUCCGUAAGUUGUUCCGCUAUGAACCUUCAGACGAAACUAAGUGCAUUCCCUACUGUCAAACCUUUACUGAAGUGAUCUGCAUGCAUGAUGCAGGCAGGUCAGGAGGCUUUCAGGUCAAUCACAAAAUCCUACUACAGAGGUGCGGCCGCGGCUCUCCUGGUUUAUGACAUCACCAGGUACAUUCACCAGAUUAAGCAUGCAUUUUAAGUUGCUGUCGUCUUAGAAUUUUACCAGUAGACUAAGAAUGUCGAUCCUUUCCUCUGGUGAUGAGCAGGAGGGAAACCUUCAACCACGUCGCGAGCUGGCUGGAAGAAAUGAGGGAGCAGGCGGACGGCAACAACAACAUCACCAUCAUGCUGGUCGGAAACAAAUCAGAUUUAGGUCAGAGGCGGGCCGUCAGCACGGAAGAGGGCGAACAGUUCGCCAAGGAGAACGGCCUCGCCUUCAUGGAGACCUCGGCCAGGACCCGGCACAACGUGGAGGAGGUAACUCGACGCACCGAAUCGCAUCGCGGCGGCGCGCAAUUCACCAUGGCAUUUUUCUGACAUGACCUGACCUAUGCACGCAGGCAUUCCUUCAGAGCACGUCCAUGGUGUACGAGAAGAUCCAGGAAGGCGCCAUCGAUCUCUCCAAGGUGAGUGUCUGCUAGCAGCUGCUUAUCGGGUUAAUUUUCUUAAAACAAGAUUAUCGGGUUAAUUUGUCCACUGUUGUCUCUCUUGCAGUGUAGUGGUGUCACGCCCGGAGUUGAUGAAUUAUGCAACCUUGACAGGGACACGCUGCCGUCUGGAGCCUAAGGCUGCUGCAGCAGCUGAGGGCUGAGCAUAACUUGGACGACACAGUUCCGUCUCUCAGAUGAUGUUUGAUACUAGUGCAAAUCUGUAGUAUAUAUGUAGAUCACUUGGCAGUUUAAAAUGAUGUAAAGCGUUUUACAGUCUUUCAAUGUUAUAUUUUUUCUAGUGUCUUGAUUUUUACUUUGCUAUACUUUUUGUCUUGUCGAGAGCGAGAACUUGGAAAUUGCUUUUGGCUCCCGGCUCCAUGGAGCCUGGAUAUUGAAAAAUUCAAAACUAUGAGAGAGAGAGAGAGAGAGAGAGAGAGAGAGAGAGGGAGGGAGGGAGGGAGGGAGAGAGACUAGUUUGUAAAUUUUCAUGAUGAAACAUGAUUUUUAAGUUUUAAAAAUUUCUAAAAACACACACAUACAUAUGGAUGUAUACUAAUUUUUGUAAACUUUCAUGAUGAAAUACAUUUUGGUGUUGGGUACACAAAAAAGACAAACUCAGGCAUUUCUAGCACAUACUAGUAUUCAGUAUAAAAACUAGACGACACCGCACGAGUUUUUCUGCAAAAAAAAAAGACACCGCACGAGUUGCUGCGGGGACUUUUAAUAAGCAUAAGUGAGGAUUUGAUGAAAUAAAAAAAUUGACUCUGAAAGGCAGGUGCCCUGCCUUUUCAUUGAAGAUUAGGGGCUCAUUCGGUUUGGAGGAUUUUAUAACGUAGGAAUUAGUACUAGUAUAAGAAUUUUAUAGGAUGACACUUGCCAUCCUAAGGAAUUGACUCGCCUCGUUCCUACACGUAAAAUGAGCUUUGAGUGGAUGUGUAAUUUCCUUCAAAAGCAUAGGAAAUGAAUAGUAUUCCUAUAAAAUUCCUGUACACAUUUCCUACAAACCGAAUGCAUCUAUAGGAAAUUUUCCUCCGGGAUCCUUAUUCCUAUGUGUUUCCUAUGAAAAUCCUCCAAACCGAAUAGGCCCUAGGAAUUUACAUGAGGGAGCAGAUGUAAGGAAGAGAACGCAGUCAUUGGAGAUGCGGCAUGAAACAACUACAUUAAAGAGCUACAGCUAUCACUUCUAAAUCAGCUUUCACCAAAGCGAUCACCCCAUUUUCCGGUGAAUACUCUUCUGUUUCGCUCAUUCUAAAUGUGCCACGCAAAGUAGGCCGUGGCGGCAGUGUUCUUCUUGGGCCCUUGGUAGCAGAAAUGCCACAAGUCUGGAUGGAGUCCAAAGAGCUAGGAAAGAUCAGACAAUGUUGUGGCAAGGUAUAGUGCAGUUUGAACCAAACUUCCUGGGCAAAAGUGCAAGUGCUGAAGAGGUGCAGCGCAGACUCAAGCUCCUGAUUGCAGAAGGAGCGCACAUUGUUAUGAUCGGAGCCUUGGGCACGCAAUUUGUCUGCAGACUCAGGGAGUGUUUGGUUCAGAAGUCCUAGGACUUUUUCUAGUCCCAGGGACUAAUCAAAAAAGACUCUCCAGUAGAGUCUUUUUCUAGUCCCUGUAAAAAAAGUCCCUCCCGUUUGGUUCCUAGGGACUUUUUAGGGACUUUUUCUAAUUUCUGGGACUAAAAAGUCCCUGAACCAAACACCCCCUCAAGCUUCUGAUUGCAGAAGGAGCACACAUUGUUAUGACCGGAGCCUUGGCCCUUGGGCACGCAAUCUGUCUUCAGUGGGAAUGAUUAUUUUUUUUACUUUCCUCUCAAUCUUCAGCCUCCAGGUCAUCUCAAGGUCUGGCCUAGAAACGGAUCCAAUGAAUUGACACGAGUAGGCCGAGCUGGCAGAGUAUUGUUUUGAAGACGUCCAAUUCCAGUUGAUUCUAUCCUGGACAUGAGUGAGGCUGAUAUUCUGAUUUUUUUGGCAAAGGGAUAGAAAAGCAUCAAGGUCAGAUAAUUUGUAGUGACAAGUGACGUAGCAACAUUGUACAGAUAAUUUGUGCACAGGAAGCCAAUGAAGCAUGUAGGUAGGUCGUGUGUGGCAUUGUGGAUGUUUAACAUUGUGGCAUUGUGGAUGUUUAUCAACCAGCGAUUAAGCGCGCAUGUUUAUCUGUCAUUAGCUGCUUCAUUUGGUCAGCUGGUACUGCAAAUCUGGUGUCCAACUAGCUUAGCAGGACAAUAUGCUUACAUCCAUAGGUAAAUGGUUCUAGUUAUCAUGAACCACAUUCAGGCGUCCCAUAUCAUGACGACCGCGAUGACACCGACGCCAAGCGCAACGGCGAGCCACCGGCCGACGGGGGUGUCGGCGGCGACGGGCCUCUGGGGCCUGUACCCCUUGGCGAGGAGGUGGUUGAUGGAGACGUAGACAAAGAUGCCCGUGGCGAGGCCCAUGGAGAUGGCAUAGAUCCAGUCGGCCACCCGGCCCUCCGUGGUGGCGUCGACGAGUAUGCGGCGGCGACGCCGAUGGAGCUGGAGACGGCGAAGGCGAAGGCGUAGCCGAAGCAGGAGAGGAGGGGGCGGUCGGGGAGCAUCCGGAGCAGCGAGAUGCCCAUGGCGAUCGCGGCCAAGAUCUUGUGCAGGCUGAUGGUCCACAGCGCCUUCCACGCGUCGGCUUCCGUCUCUGCGAGUAAUCGCCGAUUCGAAGACCGGAUCAAGUAGAAGUAGGCAUGAAAAUCAGUGACUGAAGCAGGGUCGAGAGGUACACACGCAUCUAGUAAGAUGCAGAGAUCCUCUCAUUCAUGGCAGUCAAAAUCCAGGAAAUUUCAAGCUCUGUCUCUGUCUUACCGGCAACUCCAAUGGCGAUGCCUUCGAAGACGGAGUGGAAGCAGAGCGCGGCGAUGAGGAGCACGCCGUCGCCGAUGGUGCUCGCGUUGCGCAGCAUGGAUGCAGUCGACGGUCCGUGCGCGUCCUGCACGCGCGGCACCGCCAAGUUAUUACAUACUGCACGCGCGAGUACACAGAGCUGUGUGGUAGUCUGAACGACUGCCAAAUCAACACCGGACUCGGAGGCUGCACUUACAGAUGUUUGUGGUUCGAUGCUGUUGUCAUCGGUGCUGCUCAGCUUGCCCUCCUCCAGCGCUCCUGGAAGUUUGUAAACAGAGUUGGAUUCUCAAGUGAACGUUUAAACCAUGACUAAUAAGAUCGCAGGAGUAACGAUAAGACCGUGAAAAUGCGCAUCGAAAGAUUGCCAAUCACCCCUUCAAAAAAAAAAAAGAUUGCCAAUCACGUAGCACGUAGCGCCCGCCCCGGAAUAGAAAGGGAGCAAAUUUGCAUUUAACCCGACGAGCAGCUGCCACCUUUACACCGCCGGCCAGCUGCUGUAUGCGCAGAUAUAGCAGUUAGUUUCAGCGGAGAACGUGGGACCUGCUGCUGCUCACCUGCACUCGGGGCGGUCCGGCCGGGGCCGCGCGCGACGACGGAGGAGACGACGCACUCGGCGAGCAUGGUGAGGACGUACCCGGCGCAGGCGAGCAUGGAGGCGAACGGGUAGUCGCUGUGGGGGGCGAGGUCCCCGAAGGUCUCGUCGGCGUCGCUGAGGAAGUGCAUCAUGGCGGUGCCGAGGAUGACCCCGCCGGCGAACUGCGUGCCCAGCGCCAGGAACGCCUCGUUCCACCGCAUGAAGUAGGGGGACACGCCGCCGGCCAGGGUGCCCGCGAACACCAGUGCCAGGCACCACAGCUUCACCGCCACCAGCCCCGGCGCCCGCAGAUCCGGCUUCGCCUUCGCGCCGCCGUCCGCGUCGCCGUCGCCGUGUCCGCCACCUCCAUGGGCCCAGGCAGUGCUCGCGGACGCGCUGAGCCAAAGGACGAGAAGGAGGAGGUGGCGGGAGCUGGUGGCCGAUGCCAUGCCCAUGCCCGUGCGUGCCGUUGCUGUGCUGGGCAGUGCGGGAACCAUGCGGAAGGUAGAUAGGAGCCGAGGACGGGGAGGGGAUUUAGGCUCCGUUUGGUUUGGAGGCAGAAAAAAUGAAGGAAUAAGUAACUGCACAGGAAUAGAGUCGAGCGACUAGAGCGAGCCUAUGGAGCCUUGUGACCUGUUCGGUGUGCAGGAAAUGGAGCCCUUGGAGUACGAUGAAGAGAUGGGCGUUCUCACAGCUGAUUAGAGUUUUUUAUUGUCUCUAGACGUGAUGACCUCCCAUGCAGCCAUUGUUUAUUCGGCUGGACCACACUAUAGCAAGAGCUUAGCCUCGCGUCUCGGUCAGAACAUGAGGUUCCGGUGGAUUUUUCGUUUCCUGUGAAAAGUACAGGUUCACGUGACUUUCCACUGGAACAGAAUACCAGAUUCCUGUGAAACGAACGCACUGCAGGUAGAAGUUACUAAGGAAACUGAUCCUUCAAAAGUUCCUGUGAGAUUCCUGCGUACCGAACGGAGCCUUAUACGUGGGCAGGAAGCUUGCAAGGAGCUGAUGUGUGGGCCCACGUGUUGCCGGAGUACACUUCUUCUCGGGCUAGUACUCUUUCUCUUCUUAAAUUGUUCUCGUUUUGACAAUCAAAUCCUCCUUUAUUCAGUCAUAACAACCAUUGCAUCGUUUACAAUCAAAGGAAUCACUGCAUAUUCCAACCAAGUGUUCGAUGGAGAAAAUCUAGCUAGUCUAGCCAGUUCGUGAGCUACAUGAUUACUCUCUCUAUUACAAUUAUCAAAGAUAACAUGACGGAAACUAAAGACUUAAAAUAACAGUCGUCGGAAACGGCAGUGGCCAAUGAAGAAGAAGAACCAUUUUUUAAUGCCGCGACCACCUCCACGCUGUCUGAGUCGAUCUCAAUUUUACUGCAACCAACAGUUUGUGGCCUAGCUUGAUCAAGUUAUAUAUCGACGGCUUGGGGGGGCCUAGUUGAUGUCAAUGAAGGCGAUCCUACUUCAACGGCUUGGCCUUGGACUUAUGUGCCACGUAAAUCCUUGGGCCCUAGAAUCUGGAUUGUACACUUCGACACGGCUCCGCACUCCAUNNNNNNNNNNNNNNNNNNNNNNNNNNNNNNNNNNNNNNNNNNNNNNNNNNNNNNNNNNNNNNNNNNNNNNNNNNNNNNNNNNNNNNNNNNNNNNNNNNNNNNNNNNNNNNNNNNNNNNNNNNNNNNNNNNNNNNNNNNNNNNNNNNNNNNNNNNNNNNNNNNNNNNNNNNNNNNNNNNNNNNNNNNNNNNNNNNNNNNNNNNNNNNNNNNNNNNNNNNNNNNNNNNNNNNNNNNNNNNNNNNNNNNNNNNNNNNNNNNNNNNNNNNNNNNNNNNNNNNNNNNNNNNNNNNNNNNNNNNNNNNNNNNNNNNNNNNNNNNNNNNNNNNNNNNNNNNNNNNNNNNNNNNNNNNNNNNNNNNNNNNNNNNNNNNNNNNNNNNNNNNNNNNNNNNNNNNNNNNNNNNNNNNNNNNNNNNNNNNNNNNNNNNNNNNNNNNGGUCCUACUUCAACGACUUGGUCUUGGACUUGCUGUUGAUAGGUUUUUGCCCUAUGACAUGUGUUUGGCACAUGCAGUGGCUUUUUUUGCCAAUGUGUUGAACUCACUCUUCCUUCUUCCCUUCCUAGACAUUGUUCUCGUACUGAUUAAGUUGUUAAUGAAAAGGAGCAGAGCCUGGUUCAAAAAGAAAAUGUUGCAUGAGAGAGAGAGAGAGAGAGAGAGAGAGAGAGAGAGAGAGAGAGAGAGAGAGAUAAUGAUGCAGUUGCGUGCAAAUGAAUAUACGAAGUCAUAGCUCUCGCUAGAGGCGACCGACCCGAGUGACGUCGGUUGCCCAAUCAGAAUUGUUACCCCACAAUUUUACUCAUGUAAUUCAUGAACCAGGAAGUCAUUUAACCCACGACAUUGAGCAGCUCAUAUAACAUCAUAUUAUCAUCACACUCAUGGCGUGAACACACGUUUGAGCAAAUAACCAUGUGCUAGAGCUAGAAUGAAAAUAUGCUGCAACAAGGCAACAAUGUAUAGUAUUAUCAUGUAAAUACUUCAGUUCAAAAUUUUGUCUCCUUACGUCAGUUAUUUCGGAACAGGGGGAGUAACUGACAAAUUAAGCGGGCACAAUUCACUUAGCCCACUCACUGCCAACAAGCCGGAAAUUGGGCUACCGAGGCCGUUUAUCCGUGCCGCCUUCAGAAUCCUGGCAAGAUGCUGAGAUGUUUGGCGACCCUGUUUACCUGCUGCAGUGUUGCACGCAUCCAGCUUUAGACGUGGACGUCCGGACAUUGGAGCACUGAACCAGAAUGUUGCACGAAGCCUUGCUAGAAGCUGCGGCGCCGAGUCAAUUUAGUUGCAGUCUUCUUCUCUCUGGCCGGAAGUUUUCUCCCACUGAGAGUUGCAGUCGAACGGAUGUCGUCGAUGAGAUCCUGGUCCGCGGCGUCCAUGAACUCCUCAAAAUCCUCAGGAAUCUCGUACAUCUUCCCGAAGUCCACAAGCAGCCUCACCCAGGUCCUCCUGAGCGCCGGCAGGCCGUAGGUGUGUGCCGCCUGCAACCUCUCCAACACGUUCUUCGUGCUCACGUCCCUCCUAAGGCUCUCCUCACACGCCUUCUUGAGGUCCGCGAUGCCAUACUUGUCACUCGCGGCGAGCAGCUCGCCCCGGUGCACGAGCAGCUCGUCCUCCGACGCGAUGACACCGUAGAGGUAGCCGACCAAGGUCUGACACGCGUCGAUGGACAUGUCGGAGAUGUCCACCUUGGAGAGCUUCUUCUCCCUGAGGUUGUGUGAGAACAUCCUCAAGAACACCGGUGACCGCGCGGCCAAGACGGCGCGGUGGGCCUUGAUGCUGCCACCAAUGGCGUUGAUGGUGAUGUCUGUGAGGAUGCCUUCUCGCAGCAUACGCGCAAAACCAGACUGUGCUUGCUCCACCAACGUCCUCAUCUCCCUAGAGCGCAAAACAGACUCCGGUUUGCCACGCUGUAUAACAAAAAAAAACUUCAUUUUACACUAGUUGUAAUAUAUCUUCCUGCUUCAUCGCUGUCCUUAAGGUCUCAAUGUAUUUAGAUAGCAAGCUCAAAAUUCACACAAUUGCUUUAAGGAAGAAAAUGAAAAUGAAGGAAAGGAAAUAUGAGUUUUACCCUAGUCAUUUUGAUAAAUUCGAUGUCAAUCAAGCAUCUUCUUGAUUUACAUCCAUCGGUCACUGUCCAUGUAUAAGGACAGUUGAGAGGCACGCUAACCACUGCAUGCGUGUGCUACUUGUUAGCAACGUUUGAAAAAAUCCACCCAUGUUAAAGAGUAAAGACGUACAUUAGCAAAAUAGAGUGGUUUGUAAAUACCAAAUGCGCACCAAUAUACUUGGAAAAAGAUACCCCCUCCAAUCCGAAUUAAUUCACACAACCUCUAUGUCGGAUCGGAGGGAGUACAAAGUCCAAAACACUACAAAGGGACAAAAAUAAUUACAGUAAAUUGUUUGAGGUUUAGGACCCAUGAUUUGAAGUAAACAUCACAAAGACAUAUAUAUUGUAAAAAAACCCAGAAGUACGAAAUUAGAAACUGUUAUCCGCAUUUGAGUGAUUAAGCAUGUUAUGUCUUAAGGGACCUAGUUCACAAGACUGAUCAAUGCGUCUCUUUCUGGCAGGAAAGAGAAGGCUAUUGGUAAAUAUCACGCCAUACACACUCACAAAAGAAAGGUGAACAUGAUUAGACUCUGAUAGACAGAACCCUUUCGGUUAAAUUAAUGAUAAAGAAGUGCAGUCUGCUAAUUACAAACCACUUAAUCGAAUGUUUAGUAUUGAGUGUUGAUAACCAUCCGAUCAAGAUCCUCUCAUUCUUUUUAUACAUGUACUCUUUGUUCUAGAUCGAACGAUACUAGUUAUUCAUCAAUUGAAUAGCAANNNNNNNNNNNNNNNNNNNNNNNNNNNNNNNNNNNNNNNNNNNNNNNNNNNNNNNNNNNNNNNNNNNNNNNNNNNNNNNNNNNNNNNNNNNNNNNNNNNNNNNNNNNNNNNNNNNNNNNNNNNNNNNNNNNNNNNNNNNNNNNNNNNNNNNNNNNNNNNNNNNNNNNNNNNNNNNNNNNNNNNNNNNNNNNNNNNNNNNNNNNNNNNNNNNNNNNNNNNNNNNNNNNNNNNNNNNNNNNNNNNNNNNNNNNNNNNNNNNNNNNNNNNNNNNNNNNNNNNNNNNNNNNNNNNNNNNNNNNNNNNNNNNNNNNGUCCUACAAUAUUUCUGCAAACUACGCGUGGAUCCACAAAACUUACUCUUAUAUUUGUGAACCAAACCAUAAACAGUUUAAAAUUUGUUUUUUUCGAUUGCACAAAAGGGAUGACCAUAGUGUACACUAGAAAAUUUUACCUUCAAGGUUUUGAACCACGCCCAGUCGAUUUUCAGGAAAAUGUAUAAGUUUCAGGGAAACAGAGGCAGCGUAUUUGUCAAAAGAUCGUGAAGAUGGCGAAAGCGUCACUGAAGUAUGCCCGUUCGUUCGGACUGCGGAUAGGUGCCUACACAAUUUUUUUUUAGAACAUAGACGUCAGGGACAUCCGGCUUUAAAUUAAUAAAGCCCACAACGUAGGCAGCGUAUGACAACCACAUGACCAACACACGGCACCAGACAAACGACGAGCAGGUCUUGGAAACAGCAACUGGAGAAGGAAUAAAGUACGUUACAAGGCAUGUCCGGCCUAGCGAAACGAGCACGCAGGCUCGGCUGAAACUACAACCAAAAGGGGCUGCCCAUCCCUAUGCGACAGCAGACGGCGCGGACGACGGAGCGCGGGACUCGGCGUAAACUAAGCGAAGACGGCAAAGAUCUUGGCGAUGAAGAUCAGAGUCCUGUUGUCUGCCCAGCGGUGCCCAUUGCUGCAAGAAAACGAUGCAUUUGAAGAUAACGUCAGCGGGAUGCGAGGGAAAUACGCCCUCAAUAGUAAACUUGUUACGAAUAUGCCAGAUAGCCCAUAACAUGGCCGCCACACACGUCCACAUGACCCGACGAGUCGGGCCAUGAACCAAUGACAAAGAAGACACUAGCGCGGCUCGGGAGCGGGGAUCCCAAUCCACCCCCGCGGCCUCACGGACCGCGCUCCAAGCAAAGCGCGCCAAAAAGCACCGGAAGAAAGCGUGGUCAGCAUCUUCCGGAACCCCACACAAAGCACAAGGGCCGGAGGCGGGGCCGUUGCGCUUAGCAAUGUUGGUAGAGGUAGGAAGGCGAUCUUGGCAGAGUUGCCAGAGGAAGACCUUGAUCUUGAGAGGGAUUUUAGCCUUCCAAAGCCCCAUGGCAGCCGAAGGGACCUGGCCGCGGGUAAGCUCUCUGUAUAAGGAAUUGACAAAGAAUUUGUCAGAGCCCGAAAGUCUCCAAGAGACCGUGUCCGCGGAGUCCGACAGGCGAACAUCCGCGAUCAAAUCCCGAAGGCGGUCCCACUCCGCCAUUUCCGUCCCCGAUAAUUCUCUUCUGAAGUUGAUGUAGGGUGGGGAGGAGCUAAGAGCCGAAGCAACCAGUUGGUUGGGCUCGACUGCAAUGGAGUAGAGUUGGUGAAACUCCGACCAUAGGGGUUGGUGGCCAAUCCAAAGGUCUAGCCAAAACCGUGUGGAGCGCCCGUUGUUAACCCCAAACUUCACGCCCCUGGCGAAUAAGGGUUUUAGGGCUUGAAUGGAGUUCCAGAAGGGGGACCCACGAGAGGCCGCCUCGAAGAAAUUCCCAUUCGGGAAGUAUUUCGCACGGAGGAGGUCGAUCCAGAGGCCAGUCUCAUCCUGAGACAUCUUCCAGAUCCAUUUGCACAUGAGUGCAAUAUUCAUCAGCUUGGAGUUGAUGAUCCCAAAGCCCCCCUGGGCUUUAGGUCUACAAACGGCCUGCCAUUUGACCAUAUGGUAUUUCCGUUUAGGUCCCGCUCCUUCCCAAAAGAAACGGGACCGCGGGGUAUCCAACUUAGUGUGUACCCCAUCCGCCAGCAAGAACAAACCCAUGACGAACAUAGGUAAGGAUGAGAGGCUGGAGUUGGUUAAGAUUAGUCUAGCCCCUGAAGACAUAAAUCUACCUCUCCACGGACACACCCUGCCCGCUACCUUGGAGGUGAGAGGUUCCCAAUCGGCGAUCGAACAUUUCUUCGCCGCGAUCGGGAGGCCGAGGUAAGUGAAUAGAAACUGGCCAAGUUUGCAGUUAAGCAAGUUGGCUACCCGCUGACUUUCGGCCGCGUCCAUCCCUAUGGACACCACUUCACACUUGUGGAAGUUGAUUUUAAGCCCCGACAUGAGUUCAAAACACAACAGAAUGGCCUUGACCGUUGCGAUACUGUGUGUGUCGGGCUCGAAAAGGAGGAGUGUGUCAUCCGCGUAUUGCAGGUGUGACACUCCCCCCGGGAUCAGGUUGUCCACCACUCCCCUGAUGUGGCCAGCCAAACGAGCUCUGUCGAGGCUACGGCGAGGCUGGGUCCCCCUGACGCAGCCCACGCUUGUUGCGGAAAAAGUUCCCGACUUCUCCGUUCACCGCAAUCGCCGUUUGACCCCCCGAGACCAACUGCAUCAUGCGAUGAACCCAAACCGACGAGAAUCCCCGGUCCAGGAGGACCUGACGGAGAAACUCCCAGUUCACGCGAUCGUACGCCUUCUCAAAAUCAAGUUUCAGGAGAAUCGCGGGCUGGCGAGCGCGUUUUAGGGAGUGGACAAUCUCUUGGAGGGCCAACGGCCCCUCUAAGAUGUUGCGCCCCCGAAUAAAAGUCGAUUGGUUCCUACUAAUAAUACGGUGAGCUAUCGGAGACAAGCGAGUCGAACAAGCCUUAGCACAAAUUUUAAACGGAACAUUAAUCAACGCUAUGGGAUGAAAGAGCCUAAUAUGAUCCGCGCCCGGAACUUUGGGGAUCAGAGAGAGAACCCCAAAGUUUAGGUGAGAGAUAUCUACCGUACCCGGCAUAAAACCAUUGCAAACGUCAAAAAUAGGCCCUUUGAGCACUUGCCAAAACCUUUUGAACAUCGCCACCGGCCACCCAUCCGGCCCGGGUGCGGUGUCGGAUUUCAUGCCAAGGGUCGCCUUGUCAAUCUCCUCCGGGGUAAAGGCCAAUCCCAGGCCCUCGUUUUCAUCGUCCGUGACCCGCAACGCAGGGUCCUACACAUCCGCCCUAAGCCGGGCACGGGAUUCCUCCCUGGAACCCAUAAGUUGGAUGUAGAACUCGUAAAUGUGGCGGACGAAAUCCUGUUGCCGCAAAAGGAGCCCCUGCUCAGAUUGCAAGCGCAGAAUGGCGCAUUUGCGGCGACCGCCAUUAGCAUAGGCGUGAAAAUAUUGAGUAUUCACGUCACCCUUAAGCGUCCACUUGAUACCAUCGCGUCUACGCCAGUACUCCUCCUCAACUCUAAGGAGGGACUCGACCUGGGCCUCAAGCGCGUAGCGCGGAGCCCAAUCUUGCUCCGAAAAGGUCAGGAAAAAAUAUAGUAUUUGGAAACCAUAUAGUAUUUGGAAAAAAAUAUAUAGAAAUAAUGCGUAAUCAUCGGAUGCUGGGGGAUCCUAGCCCACAACAACCACCACCGCAGGAUGCUCCUUCAGAAAUCGGAUUAGUCUGUUAUAAGCACUUACAAGUUACAACAGCAGUACCCCUAUCGUUUCGAAAUCAUCCUUGUAAGGUGUACUCCCUUUGUAAACUAAUAUAAAAGCGUUUAGAUCACUAUUAAUUUACGGAGAGAGUAUAACCAUAACAGCAAAGAAUAUAGUGUUGAGUUAAAAAAAUUGAAUAUAGUGUUCCGCUAGAAAUUUUGUUGAGAAAGGAACAUAAGGGAAAAGGGGAGCAGCGGCAAUACCAUCUCCAGCUCCCAACAUAGAAGUCUUCCUUGGAUCUUUUGAUUUGCUCAUCGGGUCCGAGCUCCAGCAGCACAAAUCUUCCUUCAACUUCCACGUCGCUCCCCGUGGUCGAUCUUGACAUCUCUCGGAUGGACUUUUUGAUUAAAGGCGGCGUGCUGUUCAGAGAAGAAGGCCGGUAACCCUAGAACUGGAAACCGUAAAUUUCGAAUGGCAGGAGGAAGGAAGCAGAUGCCAUCCAAAAACGGUUUAGGGGGUCCGUGCACGGUGAUGUGCGGGUAGGUGAGUAAAUUACGCGCUGGGGUUUGAGAUAAGCGAGAUAUUGUUCCUUCCUUGACGCUGAAUUCGUUUCCUGGGCAUCCUGUUUUCACGAAAUAUUUGAUUCGCCAGCGAGAUUUCUUCCCUCCUCGUCUCCAUUUCAUUUAUAUUGCAAACUUGCAUGAAAAGCAAUAUGUAUUUUUUAGAGUCGCAUGAAAAAUAUUUAUUGCCAACUAAUUAGUGUCAGAGUUGGCAUCAAACAACGCGUGGCUAAACCUUCAUGGUUCUCCCCCUGAAAAUGUUAAACCAGCAUCGAUCUGAGGGGACGGGGAACAUAGCGCGUGUUACAGCAAGUCUUUUUCAGUGGCCAUAAUUGGGGCUCCAUAUCUCUAUCUCUACUAUCUAAAAGAAACGUAGUGUUCCGUUUCCCCUCUUACGUUCCCCGUUUUUCGUCCAACCCUCACGACCCCCUCUCCCCUCCAACGAUUUUUUCCUUCCUACGAUUUUCUCCCUGCCGGUUUAUCCUCAUCUGGCCGGACAAACCGACUCUAUCUUGGUAAGCAUAUAAUUCACGUAAGGUAAACAAUCGCAAUCAAUCCAAACGCAAUUAAUCAUGCAUGGCAAUCAAUUCUUUCAUAGCAGUGAUCAAUCUCCUUCUUCCAAUCAAACAGUGGUCAAUCUUCUUCCUUCUUUCAAUCAAUUCCUUUCUUGUAUGACCGUGGUUUAUCUGCCAUCACCCAUUUUCUUCCGUGCUUUGAUUGAUUUAUUUAUUAGCUUACCAAAUCAGUGAUUAUGGAAGCAAUCAUAUACUAUUACUCCCUCCAUUCCGUUGAUUGAUCAGGCAUAUUUUUCUCUCCGGUUUUUCCAUUGAAUGAGGCGCAUGGUGAGAUUCACAGCCCAAUCUUUCCGAACCGCUCUUUUGACGGCUCCUCCUCUAUGCUAGAGUACAAAUUAAUUGUAGCCUCUUUAUUUUCCUUUUGCAUGACCAUAACUUUUUUAUUUUGCGGGAAAGCAUGACCAUAACUAACAACCCACUAUUAGGGGAUUUAGUUUGAUGCAUGGCCGGAUGACAGGGCUAUGACGCGGCUAAGGGAUGACAUAGCCGAUCCCUUUCCUCCCAAGGCCUAUGCAUCUAAGAAUCAGAUCGCUGUCAUCUCGCCCCCUUUAAUUUCGCAAGGGCUCUAAACUGGAUGCACACGGCUCUAACCGUCGCCAAGGGCGCCCACAGGACAUGUACGUGAGGGAGGCCGCCGGGACGGAAAGCUCGUCAACCACACGGCCAACUCGGGGGCGGUGAGGAGACGUGCACUAACCCGGGCGGGUUCAUGGUUAAGUUCAUGGCGACGGGGUCGUGGAGGUAAUUCAGGGAUAUUAACCGCUUGCGCUAGCAAAAGAUCAUGUUCGGCGGAGGCAGCUGUUGAGCGCCAUGUCAUUGCGGUCCUCAGCAAUCGCUGACCGGCCCGGAAGCUUCAUAAAAUUUCAUGAAAUCCUGGCGAUGGGCUUGAUGGCGGCCUACUAGCUAUAGACGAGAUUGGCAUUGUCGUCUUUCUUGAGGACCCAGGUGCGGCUGACAAACUCUAUGGAUAAGCGGAAGUCUUCUGCCCGGCUAUUAGCUUUGACAAUGCAUAACGUCAGCUUGCUUGCACAAGGAUUAAUCAUGAUGCAUGACGCAUGCAUCAACAUGACGUCAAGAAUUGUAAAAAUUCAAUAAGUGCUUCCUUCUUCCAUAGUUUCCUUUCCUUGGGAAGUAUCGAUCCUUUUGUUUGGUGUGUUCUCCUUAUUUCUAGGCUUGCAUUUUGUGUUGUUUUGUUUGCUUUCGAGAGUUGUAAAAAAUUAUAUUUUCAUUUCAUAUUGCAGUAUUCAUGCAAAGGUUGAGCGACAACUAUCUUUUGAUCUUAAACCGUACUGUCUCUAAUUUGUUUCCUUGUAAUUUGUGCAUUUUUUCUCCAAUCUGUGUGGAUGAGCUCGUGUUAGGUAGAUUUGGAACAUGUGACUGCAGAUGUAAAUUAAUAUGAACAAAGAAUAACGGGGUAUGAAUUAACCACUAGCAAGUGCCACUGUGUGGAUGAGCUCGUGUAAGGUAGAUUUUGAACAUGUGACUGUAGAUGUAAAUUGAUAUGAACAGAGAAUAAUGUGUUACGGAUGAACCAGGAAAAGAGAAUAACGGGCUAUGAAUGAACCACAAUCUGUGUGGAUGAGCGCGUGUAACUGGUGUAAGGUAGAUUUGUAAUAUGUGAUUGCAGAUGUAAAUAGUAUGAACAGAGAAUAACGGGCUAUGAAUGUACCACGAGCAAGUACUAGACACUAGGUGCCAUUUAUUCCAAUAGGUAUGUCAAAUUACAAAGACAAUUAAUCAUGUAGUCAAGAGUGGUUUUUGUGCACCCAGGCACAUUGCACCCCCGGUGCACCCACAAUAAAAAACUUAGCAAAACAUUUCAAAAAAUUCUGAAACUUUGUGGAUGUGAUCAUGACCAAAUGUUUUAGGUGCUUACAAAAUUCUAAAACAUCCGAGGAAAUCUGUACAAAAAAAUAGAAAAUGGUAUGUACUAUGUAAGUACGCCACUCAUACUAGCUGGUCGUUGUUGCCUUCUUGGUAGUUGUUGCGGCUUCUGAAUUUACUGCACCACUAUGUAAAACGACAUGGUCAGAAGCUGGGGUGGGUGUAUCAAGUGACUCUGAUUACAUGACUAUUCCUAAAUCAAUCUCUGUUUUACCGCUGAUGAUGUAUUGAACUGUGGUUAUGUAGUAUUUGUUGUUUCUGGAUAGAGGGUACUGCAUAUUUGGGGUUCUGAUCCUGGUUGGAUACUUACUUUGCUUUAAAUAAAGCACUAUGUGACUAUAUUCUGGAGUUGUGACACUAUCCUGGAGUAAAUGAGGGGCUAUGAGUAUGAGACCAAUGUAAUAUAAGCUUCUAAUUUUUGAUCUUUUUUACUUCUGUUUCUUCAUUUCCCAUUCAAAGAAGUUGCUAGAAUCAUAGUUUCAUAGAGGAAUUUUGUUAUGAUGAUGAUCAUGUAUGUUUAAUUUAUUGCAACAGGAGGAACUAUCGUCAUAUCAUUUGCAAUGGACUGAUGGGAAGGUUUAGGAGCUUUUGAGGAUGAAGAACCAUGAGAGGGUCAGUGGCACUUCCUUUGAAUUAGAGAAUAAUGAGAUUGGGCGAAGCUAUGAAUGACAGCGUCCCAUCUCCCUACCUUCCGUCGGUCUCUCCCCUCACUCUUUUUGCGCCUCUCCAUGGUGGUGCCUUACGAUGCCUUGCCACAAGAGAUAAUUAAUCAUUAUCAGGGAGAGAGGGUGAGGGGGAAUUUUGUGCCCAAUUGAAAUGGAAGAAGAAGAACGAGUUAAAUAGUAGUUCAUGCGAGUUGGUGUUUAUUCAUAGAGAAUCCCAUGCAUUAUGCAAUGCGGUAUACAAGAUCAUCACUUUGAGGCAUCCAUAUUGGGUUAGGGGCAUGUGAUUUUGUUCCCGUUGCAACGCACGGGCAUUUUCCUAGUAAUACUUUUUACAAGCACAACAUUUUCUUGGUUUGUCAAUAUGUUUCAUCUGUAUCCUCUCUCUGUUGUGCUGGUCUUGACCCUCAAUUUUUUUCUUACUACCCAUUUUAAGUUAUGUCCAAUUUUUAUUAAAAAAUUGUACUCCAGAAAGACAUUACACAAAAGCUGAUUUGCUUGAUGUGCCUUUCUAUGUGGAAACUGGCUGGAGCAUUGAGUAUUUGAUUAAGAAAAAAUGGUGGUUACUUGGCUAUGCUUUAGCACAUAAAUUGUUUUUUUAUCAACGAUUUUUCUUACCGUCUGGCCUAUACGUUUGAUUGCUUUAAUAAAGCAUACUGUACUUUGUUAGCCAGGGAAAUUAAAGGAUUAAGAUCUGAUUGAAGAAUUUCCAACUACUGACCAGCAACAUCUUCUGUAAGCAAGCCACUACUGAAGGGAUGUCACAACGUCAAAAAGGAAGAAGGGAUGUCACUUUAGGUUUGAGCGGGGGUUUGGGAAGAUUGUGAAUAUCGUGAUAUCAGCUUUUCAGUGAAAAUUUGUGCUAUACAUAUAUAAAUUCAGGUUGUUAUAAGACAUAUUCCCCUUUAAUGGUGAUGUGUACCGUUGAUGUUUAUCAAUUGUUGAAUGGAGAUGUAUCCUUGAAUAUUUUAUGACAUUUUUUAAUGAUUCGGUAUUUUACGCAAUCUUAUGGAUCACAUCUCAACGGCAAUUCCAGACGUGUUAUGCAUAUUAAGAACAAAUUACGAUAUUGGGGAAAUUAUUAAAGGGAAGAUGCCGGUGGUUGAUCUCCCUGUUGAACCUACCAUUGUUAGAAAGAAACAAUUACCCUGGCCUAAACCGCCAGCUAGAUGGGUUGCUCUAUCAACUGAUGGCUCCUAUGUCAAGAAAAUUGGGUUGGCAGGUACGGAUAUGGUUCAUAGAGACUCGGUAGGGACAGAUAUUAUCUCGGCCUACAGAUAUCUCUUCCAUUGCAAAGAUGCUCUAGAAUCCGAAAUCAGCGCCAUGUUGGAACUUGGAAAGUAUCUCAAUCAGUUUGCAGAGGACGGGGCUUCCUAUUAUUAUUCAAUCUGACUGUUCUGUCCUGGUUGCUGCAUUAACUAACGAGUCAUUGGACAAAUCUUCUCAUGGAUAUUUGAUUCUGGAAAUUAAGAGGCUCCUGGAACCGCGUAGGUUUAUUCCGCAGAAAUUAGAUCAUCACCAAAAUUGUAUUGCUCAUUGUUUAGCUAAUACUGGUCAUUCUGGAGGUAGCACCACAUGUUGGUUGCACCGUGUGCCAGACAGUGUCUACUUUUGUAUUAGCAUAUUGUAACACUAUUUUAGAGGAAUAAACCAAAUAUUGUGCACGCAAAUUUUUUAAGAACAUAUUGCGUAAAUAAAACUCAUGGUAUAUUCAAUGAUGUACCUACUUUUCUCUAUAAAUAAGGUGAAAGUUUGUAGUGUUUAACUUUUGCAAAAAUCUAUAGGCACUAUAUUAUGAAACGGAGGGAGUAUAAUUAUUAUAAAUGCAUAAACAUUAAAGUUGUAAUUUAGUUAGCAAAUAAAGUCUUAAUAUAUCAUUUAUAUGUGAUUAUAUGAUGCAAAUAAUGUUUAUAAGAUAAAUAUACUCAAUCAUAAAUAACUAUUGAAUAAAUACAACAUGGUUAAGUGUGCGCGGAAGGUGGGGGGCAUAUGCCCCCACUCCGCCGUUAUGUUCUUUAAAUCACAUUUAAAAAAAUUAUUUGGGUGUGUAGAUGUAUUGGGCCCUAGGCCUUUUGCCAUGGCCUAGGACCGACCCUAGGACUUUAAGCAUCGUAAGCAGCACCCGGAUAUGGAGGAAACGUCGAUGUAAGCGUUGAGCUGGCAGACCUUCAGACAAGAGCACGACUUCUCGCCUAGGUAGCAGAAGCAGCGGGGAUUUCCGCAGUAGUCGGUGGUUAACUUUGCGUCCUCGUAUUGUUAUGUUGGUUAUUAACUCUGCGUGGCUUUAUUUAUAAAGUCGGGCAUGUGUAUUUCUUCUAAAAAAUACAGAUCAUAAAUGGACCUAGCAAUCUUUUGUCAAACAAAAAAAGGAAACAUGCAAUCCAUCACACCCUGAUGCACAAAGCUUGGGCAACACAAUUUAUACUUAUGCAAUUCAAGAAACGGGAAUGCAGUACUCAUCUAGCCCACUCAUCGCCUACAAAGCCCCGACAUUGAACCGCUUGCACAGACGUUUGAGCAAACACUUGCGAGACCUAGAAUGGGAAUCUUGUAACAGACGAAGCGGGCACAAUUCACUUGGCCCACUCGUCGCCUGCAAGCCGGACAUUGAGCCGCCGGGCUCGUUUAUCCGGAGCGCCGCCAUCGGAAUCCUGGCUUGGCGUGGACUUCCGCCGGCGACCCCGUUUACCUCCCGCGGUGUUGCUCGCAUCCAGCUUAGGCGUGGACGUCGGGACUUUGGACCUCCUAGCCGGAAUGCUGCUGCCUGAAGCCUUGCUAGGCGGAGACUUCCUCACACUGGGGCGCCGAGUCUUUUUAGCUGCAGGUUUCUUCUCCUUGGCCGCGAGCUUUCUCCCUCUGAGAAUUGCGGUCGAGCGGAUCUCGUCAGCAAGGUCCUGGUCUGCCGCCGCCAUGAACGCCUCGAAGUCCUCGGGGAUCUCGUACAUCUUCCCGAAGUCCACGAGCAGCCUGACGCACGUCCGCUUGAGCGCCGGCAGGCUGUAGGUGUGCGCCAUCUGCAGCCUGUCCAGCACGUUCUCCACGCCCACGUCCUCCCUCAGGCUCUCCUCGCAGGCCUUCUUCAGGUUGGCGAUGCCGUACUUGUCGCCGGCGGCGACGAGCUCGCUCCGGUGCUCCAGCAGCUCCCACUCGGACCUGGCGUCGCCGUAGAGGUAGCGGACCAGGGCCUUGCACGCGUCCAUGGACAUGUCGGAGAUGUCCACCGUGGAGAGCUCCUUCUCCCUGAGGUUGUGCGAGAACAUGCUCAGGAACACCGGCGACCGCGCGGCCAGGACGGCGCGGUGGGCCCUCAUGCUGCCGCCGGCCGUGUUGACGGUGAUGUCGGUGAGGAUGCCUUCUCGCAGCAUGCGCGCGACGCCAGACUGGGCUUGCUCCACUGACGCCGUCCUCAUUUGUGUAGAGCGCAAAAAGGAUUCUGUUUUGCCAUACUGUAAUACAGAAAACUGCAUCGUUAGUUCGUUACACUAGCAGUAAUAUGCGCUGCUGCUGCAAUGUUGUCCUUAAGGUUCCACUUUAUUCAGACAAUAAAUCAUCUAAACAAAGCAAGAAACGGAUGUGCGCGGGCAAUGACAUACAUUCGGUCCCAUUCAUAUAUGAGGGAUAUUCUCUCUAAACUCAACGCAAUCUAGCCUUUAAGUACAAUCAUCCAUGUGAUGUAAAUUAAAUUGGUAAAGGAACAUUAUUUUAAAUAAUUUGACAACAUUAUAAUUUGAAAUCCAAAUUCGAUCACACUGACAAACUCAGGUGAUAUAUAGUAGAAUUUGUGGGUGUUCUGUUUUUCUAUGUUAUUUUGUAUUUUACUGAAUCUCAAAAUUGCCAGAUUUAGGCUAAAGACUACUCAUAGAUGGUGGUGAAGUUACUUUGUGUCUUCCUCAUUUCUCCAUUGUGACUUUUUUCUCUCUCUAUUGUGAGCCCUAAUCUCGUGAUUUCCAUCUCUUUGCACAAUCAGAGGAAUGAGGAAGUUAUCAUUGAAUCUCUUCAACUUUGUGUCAUGUACAUUUCUUAUCCCUAGACCAUCAGAAAGUCCUUCAAUUAUGAUGUCGAAUAGUCUUAGUCCCUAACUUAUACUCUUACAAUAUCCGGAGAGCUCAAGAGUAUCCGGAAAAAGAAAGUUUAAGGGACUGACUUAGACUCUUACUCCCUCCGUCCCAAAAUAAGUGUCUCGGCUUUAUUACAGUUUUGUACUAAAGUUAGUAAAAAAUUAAGACACUUAUUUUCGGACCGAGGGAGUAUAAUAUUAGAAGUUGACAAAUAGCCAUCUGUACUUUAAGGAAGAAAAGGAAAAGAAAAAAUAUGUGAGUUUUACCUCAGUAAUGUUGCGAAACUCGAUCUCAACCAAGCAUCUUGUAGAUUUACAUCCAUCUGUCACUGUCCAUGUAUGAGGACCAUUGAGAGGUAGGUCAACUUCUGCAUGUGUGUACUACUUGUCAGUAAUGUUAGAAAUUUUUUGCCCAUGUUAAAGACGUAAAAUAAGUGAUACAAAGCCGUUCGAAAUUACCAAUUGCAAAUGCAUGUAUGUGGAAAAUACAAAGUCUAAAAAGAGAAAAAAAAUACAGUAUAUUGUUUGAGAUUUAGAACCACGAUAUGGAGUAAACAUUGCAAACAGGUAGGCCACGGAUAAGUAUCAUGUCAUACACAUUGUUUGUAACGAAAGAGUCAACAUGAUUAGAGUGAUUAAUCCACCAAUAAAUAGACCCGAGAAGAGUAGUUUACAAUAUAUCUAGUUUUAUGAAGUAGUACAAGACAUUUAGUUGAGUGUUUAGUCUCAAGUGUCAAUGACGGCCUGAUAAAGAUCCUGUCAUUUUUGUAUACCCGAACAAAUCUCGGUUCUAGAUCGGACGGCUCUAGUUAUUUAUCCGUCGUCUGAGGAGAACAUUUCAUAGCAAGAUAGGGGAAAUAGGCUACCCUACAAUAUUUUGCAAACUACACAUUGAUCGGUGCUAACCAUAGUUCACACAAGAAAAUAUUACCUUGACGAUUAUGAAUUAGCACCGGUUGAUUUUCAGGAAAGAGCACCAGUUUUAGGGUAACGGAAGCCAAGCAUUUGUCCCAAAACAGUGAAGAUGUCGAAAGCGUCACCGAAGUAUGCUCGUCGACUCGGACCGCAGACAGUUGCCUGCACAAUUCAAACGGAACGAUUAGGAACACUUGGAAAGAACAAAAAUACCAACCGAAAACCCGUCCGCUGCAAGAAUUUUGUUGAAGAACGAAGAAUAAAGGCAAAUAUAUAGGAGGAGCGGCAAUACCAUCUCCGUUUCCCGACAGAGAACUCUUUCCUGGAUCUCUUGGUUUGCUCAUGGGGUCCGAGCUCCAGCAGCACGAAUCUUCCUUCGAUCUCCACGUCGUUCCUCGGGACCGGUCUCGACAUCCCUCGGAUGGAACUUUGUUCUUUGUCUGGUGAAAGGCGGCGUGCUGUUGAGACUUGAGAGAGAAGAACCCUAGAACUGGAAAAGUCAGAUUUCGAAUGGCAGGAGCCAGGAGGGAGGAGGGAGGAAGCAGAAAGGCUAAAACGGUUUAGGGGGUACGUGCACGGGGACGUGCGGGUAGGUGAGGAAAUUACGGGGUGGAAUUCGAGACGAGAGAGAUCUUGCUCCUCGCUGACGCUGGCCUUGGUUUCCUGGGCAUGCUGUUAUCACGCUAAUUGUAGUGUUCCAAAACUUGGCUGUGCUGAUUAAAUGGUUUAGCUUUUCCUUUUUUGGGAGGAACGAUUAAAUGGUUUAGCUUUGGGCAAGUAUUUGUUUCACCAUAAAAUUCUGGCGAGGUUCCUUUCCCCUCCUCUCUGUUUUAAUUGUCUUGCCAAACUUCCAUCCAUAUAUUUGUUGCCAACUUGGUAACUGCCGCUUGCCCAGCACUAUGGCUGGACCUGUGUGAAGUAUGGAAUCGUUGUGUUCCAUUUCAAAAAGGAAAACACUUGGUGACUGAAAUGUUGUCACCAUCCCUGACAUGGCGGCCCCAGCUGGCAGCGACCUUGCCAACUCGUCGAUCAGGGUCGCAUGGCCAACUCUCGUGUGGUUGGGCCCCGACUAGGUGUAGUUUAGGCCCAGCGCAGUCUCUUCGCUACUUAUUCCCAUCCACACGAAAGAAGAUGCCAUCCAGUGGACCAGGAUAAAGUGGUUACGACACAACUUGCUAUUCUUCGUGUUCAUUUUGUUUUGUUCCUCAUUUGUAUAACCCGAAUUUGUGAUUGUAAUCGCUACCAACUACUCAAAUUCAUCAGAAUGUGGAACACAUACACAGAAAGGCCACUGGAAUCAUAACAUUUGGUAUUAGAGACCAAUCACCACUCCUUCCUCUUGCGCUAUCACAAUUCAUGGAGACCAGGAGCCUUCAGCGGGUUCGUCUUCAUCUAGAAGCCAUUGAUCCGUUGAAAGAGGAGUACUUCUAGUGGUUCAACGUCGCGCUCAAGGACUUUUGCGUCGACCUCCGCACGAACACGGCCGCUGUCAAGUCCUACACCGCCAAGCUCGACGACCUAGUCGCUUGAUAUCCGGAUCUGGAGAAGAGGGUCACCAAGAUUGGCAUGGUCGUCGCUGCUUAGCAGUAGGACAGUGCCUCUUCAUCAGAGUCGCUCGGUAAGGAAGGGCUGAACGAUCUCGUGGCUAUUCCCCCUACCCGCAACAACCGGCCGCCCCAUCGGCCCCGGGCACGACGUGGUCGGGACUCCUCGUGAGUCAGAUGACCACGACGAUGUGUUUCUUCACUGGAGUAGGUGCAAGUGACCACACUGAAGCCCCUCAUGGUCACUAGUCAGUUUCCUGUGUAGUCCACACUAUCUUUUCCUUCCCCAUUCGAUCAUGAUAGCCAGCUCCUCGCAGCUGGAGGAGCUCCCGCUCCAGCUCGCGACACGGCAGGGGCGGAGGGAAACGGCGGGGGCGAAGGGGGCUGGCUGGGGCAGACGGGAUCGGCGGGUGCUGGAUCUGCUACUCUCCGUCCAUAUAUUGGCGGCGGGCGGACGACGAGGGAGGGCGGCGGCGGCGGCGGGCAGCUGGGUGACGAGGCAUUCAAGUCUGCACGCUACCGAUUCAUUUCGGUUUCUUUUACCAACAAAAAUAUCCAUGCGUUGCAACAAUAUAAAUAGAAAUAUUACUACAAGUCCUUAACCUAGUUAGCAUAGCUUAAGGGCAUGUACAAUGGUUGAUAAGAUAGUCUCAUUUUAAGUCUUGCAUGUAAUUUAGAGAUGACAAAAAGAAAUGUCUACAAUGGGUCAUUUCUUAGCCUUAUCUUCAAUAACUAGUUAUUUCUGAAAAUAUGAUGAGACAUAUUGUGCUAAGAGAUCAUCUCCUCCACCUCAUCAUUUAUCCUACGUGGCAGUCCUAAAAUAACACCAUUGUACAUGCCAUAAGAUCCCCUCCACGAACAUGAUCAUGUCUUGUACUUUGCCAAAAAAGGCUUUCGCCCCGCUUUAUAAAUAAAGCAACCAUCAAUCAUACAGAGUCAAGGUCACAACUGAACACACCACAAAGCCACCGCGGGCAAGGUCCAACACACACACGCACAAACAUAGGCAGACCCAAGUUCAGCUGUGGGCACAUCACAACAAGCCCAACACAAACGAGCGGCGAAACAACACAAACAUGGCGGUGGCGGAGGCGUGAAGACGACGAUCUAAUCUGGUUCCAGUGGUGGUGGGGGGAGCGGUGGAGCCAUCCGGAGAGCCAUCACGCGAAGCUGGGUGAUAAUGGAGGUGAUGGCGUCUCUCUCCCUGGGAUGGCUAAGCGGCCGCCAAAGCUGCAAGUUACCAGACCAUUUGAACAAAGCGUCAGUAGCAUGACGAAUAGAUAUACGCUGAAUCACAAGUUUAUUCCUAACAGUCCACAGCGUCCAGGUAAGCACCCCAAUGGCCAGCCACCUAAUGUGGCGCGCCGCGAGUGGGAUCGCCUGAAGUUCGGCAAAGAGAGCGGGGGAGUUGUUAUGGUCCCAGCUUCCACCCACUAACUUGCAGAAACAACUCCAUAGGAACUGCGCGGACACGCAGGUGAAGAAGAUAUGGUUUGAAUCUUCUUCAGGCCCGCAUAGCGGGCAACGCCCAUCCCCAGGGCCAUUGCGCUUCAGGACCUCUACGUCGGAUGGGAGGCGACCGCGAAUCCAUUGCCACAAUAAGAUCCUAAUUUUCAGGGGGAGGCGAAUCUCCCAGAUGGAGGUGAGCGCCUCAUGGCCAAGCGAGGGGCGAUGGUCAUGUAGAGAGAUUUGGUGGAGAAUUGCCCAGAAGGCUCUAGUUGCCAUUUGGAGCGGUCAUCUUCCGUCAUGAGAUCUGGCUCGUGGAGAGCAAUGCAGUCAAGCAGCUCCUGCCAGUCCACGUUCUCAGCCGUGCCAAAAGGUCUCUGGAACACGAGUUGCCCUAAGUCAAUAAGGGCGGUCGCGACGGAAAUCCGCGGGGCCGCCGUGAUGGAGAACAAGUCCGGAAAGCGGGCCGCAAGGGGCUGUCGCCAGUCCAUCUAUCAAACCAGAACAGCGUGGCGGUGCCGGACCCAAUCUCGAUCGAGGUCCCGAUCUGGAGGACAGGAAGGAGCUGAAUGAUGGAUUGCCAGAACUGGGAGCCCCAGACCGCUGGCAGAAGGCGAGAGGCUGGCCGCGGAGAUAUUUCUGCUGAAUGAUAUGGAACCACAGACCACCAUCUCCGUUGGCAAUCUGCCAGAGCCACCGAGUCAGAAGGGCAAUGUUCAUGCAUUUUGAGGACAUGAUCCCGAGUCCGCCCUGGUCGCAAGGUUUGCAGAUCUUUGACCACCGAACCAUGUGAUACUUUUGCUUAUCGCCCUCGUCGGCCCAGAAGAACCGCCCCUGAACAGUGGCAAUCUCGUUAUGAAGAGUCUCCGAAAGGCUGUAGAAGCUCAUGAUGAAUAAGAGUAGGCUGGACAGGGACGAGUUGAUGAGCACCGUACGGGCUGCCUUCGAGAGCCACCGACCCUGCCAGGGCUUGAUGCGGUGCUGGAGCUUCCCCACCGUGGGGCACAGCUCAGCCACCGUGAGCCGGGAGUCACUAAUGGGUAUCCCCGGAUAAGUCAUGGGGAAGCACCCGAGCUGGCAGUUAAGCCGAUCUGCAAUGCUCUGUCGCUCGUCUUGGGAGUAUCCCAAGACCAUCACCUGACUCUUGUCGAAGUUGAUCCUAAGGCCUAACAUCUGCUGGAAGCACAGCAGAAGGAACUUGAGGUUUGAAAUAUCACUCACUGAACCUUCCACCAUGAUAAUGGUGGUAUCCGCAUAUUGGAGAAGGGAAAUCCCGUUUCCCCCAACAAGGUGUGGGACUAUGCCCUUAAUGUGACCCGCAGCCUUGGCCUUAUCAAGGAUGGCAGCCAGAGCAUCAACGAACAUUAAUGGGGAGAAGGGAUCGCCCUGAUGCACCCCACAGAAUGUGGGGAAGAAUGGGUCGAUCUCCCCAUUAAUGUUCACCGCGGUGCGACCCGAGGAUACCAACUGCGUCACCCUGGUCACCCACCGGUCGUCGAAGCCCUUACAGAUUAGGCAUUUCCGGGCGAAGGUCCAACUGACCGUGUCAUAAGCCUUGUGGAAAUCCAGUUUCAGGAAGACUGCCUUGAGAUGUUUGGAGUGCACCUCAUGGAGAGCUUCGUGGAACACCAAGACUCCGUCAAGGAUAUGGCGCCCCUGGAUGAAGGUUGACUGAUCAGGGUGGGUGAUCCGGUCGCCCAAAGGGGCCACCCUGAUGGUGUACCCCUUCGCGAGGAUGCGGAAGAUGACGUUAAUCACCGUAAUCGGACGGAAUUGACGGAUGUCCGAGGCCCCAGUCACUUUGGGGACGAGGGUGAUUAUCCCAUAGUUCAGCCGGGCUAGGGCGAUGGACCCAAAAAAGAACUCAUCAAAUAGGUCCAUCACCUGAGGUUUAAUCAUCUCCCAGAAGGUCUGGAAGAACUUCACUGGGAGGCCAUCCGGGCCGGGUGCUGAGGAUGGGUUCAUGCCCUUAAUUGCCGCCCAAACUUCAGCCUCGGAGAAUGGUGCCAUGAGGGCUGCGUUAUCUGAGGGCGAAAUGCAACUGUGCGCAGGCCAAAUGUCUUGCGCUAGGGCAAGACCUCCCCGAGGGGAGGCAGAGAAUAGGUCUCUGUAAAAGCUAUCUACAUGGGUCCGGAUGUCCUCCGGCCACUGCAGGAGGGUCGCUCCAUCCCACAUGAGGGGGUGAAGUUAUGGCGUCUACGAUCGUUAGCGAUGGCCUGGAAAUAGGUAGUAUUAGCGCCCCCCUUGAGGACCCAAUUCUGCAUACCCUGCAUGCGCCAGUAGGCCUCCUUGUCCGUGUAGAUGACUGUGAGCUGGUCUUCCAGGUCGCACCGAAGCAUCCAUUCAUCGGCCGAGAGGCCAGCAAUGCCAGCCCGCAAAUCAAGGGCCUGGAUGCCCUACAGAAGGGCCUUCUUACGCUCACGAAUGUCCCGACCCAUGUUGGCACCCCAGCCUUUCAUGAAUUGCCGAGCCCUCUUAGCGCAGAAAUGCCACGAAUCCACGGCUGAAAGGGAGCGGUGGGGGGCAUCACGCGCCUCAUGCCACCCGGCGACUACCGCGGCGGUGAAUCCAGGCUGAGGCAACCAGAAGGUUUCGAAGUGAAAGCAUGGUGGCAGGGGGGCGCUCGUUCUCCGAAGAGAGGAGGAGGGGGACGUGAUCUAAACCAAUCCGUGUGAUCGCCCGAAGCGAUGCUAGGGGGCAACGAAUCUCCCACUCAGGGGAGGCGAAGACCUGAUCGAGGACUGAUCGAGUCGGAUCAACUUGGCGGUUUGUCCAAGUGAACCUGGCUCCAACCAGAUCGAGCUCAUGAAGUCCCAUGUCUGCGAUGCAAUCAUUGAACAUUUGCAUCCGAGGAAAGUUCACUAAAUUAUUGCUCUUUUCUUCUUCCAUCACGAUGAGGUUGAAGUCGCCGCCCACUACCACCAGUAGCUGGGAGGCCACUACCUUCCUACGUAGCUCAGCGAGGAAGGUCUCCAAAUGGCGGUGAUCGGCCGGACCAUAAACCGCAAUGAUUUCCCAUUUGAAGUUUAGGGGCCGCUCGAAAACCUCCAUGCUAACGAAGAACUCGCCCCGGUCCAUGCUGCCCCCCUCAAAGGUGGCAUCCUUUCCUCCUAGGAGGAUGCCACCCGAGUGGCCCGUGCUCCCACUAGAAGGGAGCCAGUGCCAAGCAAACAGGUCAAAGCUCAAAUGCUCAAGUUCCGAUAGGGAGAACUCCGUACGCAUUGUUUCUUGAAUGGCCACAAUGUCGAUUCACUCGGUUCACAUGUAUUUAAUAAGUUGGUGGCAUCGACCAUCUUCACCGAAACCGCAGAUGUUCCAGAAGAGGGCUCGCAUCACGCAUCCAUCGGGGGGCUGCUUGACCCCAAGACACGUGAGGCGCUCUGGGCAGCGGUGCGGGAGCGGGGGCGAUUGUGGAUCUCAUUCGGAGCGGUCGCCGCACGGGGAGGGUUGCUUGGGCCAGCCCCGGAGGGCGCGCCCGAGGGAGGCGGGGCCCGUGCACGGGCCUCGGCGAGGCGAGCAUCUAGGAUUUCCCAUGCACGGAUGGCCUCAAUCUGAACUAGCGGGAGGCAACCUCCCCCCUGAAACACUAUGGUUGAGUCCGCCGCCACCUUAGCGACGUGGCCAAGCGGAGCCGACUCCAAAGCAGAAAAGGAGCAUGUAGCAGAGGUGGCCGGGAUGGACGUGGUACCUGGCUCGAGGUUCCGGGCAGCGGCCCAGAGUGCCGCCUGCUUGGGGAUAGGCAGAGCCGGACUACCCACUGGUCUGGCCGCCUUGAUCCGAGCACUACGGCGUGAGGAAGUCACCGGGGUCGAGGUUGAUCUGCCCCUCCUGGAGAGGGCCGCCGUUGAGGGGGAGGGUAGGGGAGCACCGGGGUGGUCACCACCACCGACAGUCCCUCGGCAGCGGACCACGGAAGCACCAGGGGAGGAGCAGGGAACACCGAGCAGGGAGCGCCACGAGGAGCCAGCGGAGCCGGAGUCAUAGCAGCCUACGGAGGCUGUAUGGCCGACCCCACGUCUGGGCGGGGCGCCUCCAGUGGGAGAACUGGGGGACGGGGCCGGGGACGGCCCUAUCGCCCCGGAGGCUCCAUUUGGAGACCGGCCGCCGAGGGAGAGGUCGGAGUGAGCAGGCCCAAGUCAGCCUGGUGAUACGUCCAUUUUGCAUCAUGAUUUUAUAUCGAUAUUUAUUGCAUUAUGGACUGUUAUUUCACUUUAUGUCACAACACUUAUGGCUAUUCUCUCUUAUUUUGCAAGGUUUACAUAAGGAGGGAGAAUGCCGGCAGCUGGAAUUCUGGGCUGGAAAAGGAGCAAAUAUUAGAGACCUAUUUUGCGCAACUCCCAAAGUCCUGAAACUCCACGGAACAUCUUAAAAUAAAUAAAGAAAAAUCCUCGCCAAAGAUGAAGGCCAGGGGGGCCACACCCUGCUCACGAGGGUGGGGGGCGCCCCCCUAGGGCGCGCCCCCCUACCUCGUGGGCCCCCUGGUGGCUCUCCGACGUCCAUCUUCUCCUAUAUGAAGUCUUUCGAUGAGAAAAAAAUCAAAAGGAACUUUUCGGGACGAUACUCCGCUGCCACGAGGCGGAACCUUGGCGGAACCAAUCUAGAGCUCCGACAGAGCUGUUCUGUCGGGGAUACUUCCCUCCGGGAGGGGGAAAUCAUCACCAUCGUCAUCACCAAUUCUCCUCUCAUCGGGAGAGGGCAAUCUCCAUCAACAUCUUCACCAGCACCAUUUCAUCUCCAAACCCUAGUUCAUCUCUUGUAUCCAAUUCUUGUCUCAAAGUCCGGGAUUGGUGCUAGUAGGUUGCUAGUAGUGUUGAUUACUCCUUGUAGUUGAUGCUAGUUGGUUUAUUUGGUGGAAGAUCAUAUGUUCAGAUCCUAUAUGCAUAUUAUUACCCCUCUGAUUAUGAACAUGAAUAUGCUUUGUGAGUAAUUACGUUUGUUCCUGAGGACAAGGGAGAAGUCUUGCUAUUAGUAGUCAUGUGAAUUUGAUAUUCAUUUGAUAUUUUGAUAAGAUGUAUGUUGUCUAGCCUCUAGUGGUGUUAUGUGAAUGUCGACUACAUAACACUUCACCAUUAUUUGGGCCUAUAGGAAGGCACUGGGAAGUAAUAAGUAGAUGAUGGGUUGCUAGAGUGACAGAAGCUUAAACCCUAGUUUAUACGUUGCUUCGUAAGGGGCUGAUUUGGAUCCAUAUGUUUCAUGCUAUGGUUAGGUUUACCUUAAUACUUUUGUUGUAGUUGCCGAUGCUUGCAAUAGAGGUUAAUCAUAAGUGGGAUGCUUGUUCAAGUAAGAACAGCACCCAAGCACCGGUCCACCCACAUAUCAAAUUAUCAAAGUAUCGAACACGAAUCAUAUGAACGUGAUGAAAACUAGCUUGACGAUAUUCCCAUGUGUCCUCGGGAGCGCUUUUCCUAUUAUAAGAGUUUGUUCCGGCUUGUCCUUUGCUAAAAAAGGAUUGGGACACCUUGCUGCACUUUAUUUACUUUUGUUACUUGUUUCUCGUUACAAUUUAUCUUAUCACAAAACUAUUUGUUUCCACUUAUUUAAGUACUUGCAGAGAAUACCUUGCUGAAAAUCGCUUAUCAUUUCCUUCUGCUCCUCGUUGGGUUCGACACUCUUACUUAUCGAAAGGACUAUGAUAGAUCCCCUAUACUUGUGGGUCAUCAAGACUCUUUUCUGGCGUCGUUGCCGGGGAGUGUAGCGCCUUUGGUAGGUGGAAUUUGGUAAGGAAAAAUUUAUAUAGUGUGCUGAAAUUUACUGUCACUUGCUACUAUGGAAAGUAAUUCUUUGAGGGGCUUGUUCGGGGUAUCUUCACCCCGUCCAAUAGAGCAAAGAGUUGCUCCUCAACCUACUGAACCUAUUGAAAAUGAAACUCCCUUUGAAUUUCCUUCGGGUAUGAUGGAAAAACUGCUAGCUAACCCUUUUACAGGAGAUGGAACAAAGCAUCCUGAUGGGCACUUAAUAUAUGUGGAUGAAGUUUGUGGAUUAUUUAAGCUUGUAGGUAUACCCGAUGAUGUUGCUAAGAAGAAGGUCUUCCCUUUAUCUUUGAAGGGAGACGCAUUGAUAUGGUAUAGGCUAUAUGAUGAUAUGAGAUCAUGGGACUAUAAAAGACUGAAGUUGGAAUUUCAUCAGAAGUAUUACCCUAUGCAUCUUGUUCAUCGUGGUCGCAAUUAUAUAUAUAAUUUCUGGCCUCACGAAGGAGAAAGCAUUGCUCAAGCUUGGGGGAGGAUUAAAUCAAUGUUAUAUUCAUGCCCCAAUCAUGAGCUCUCAAGAGAAAUGAUUAUUCAAAAUUUAUAUGCUCGGCUUUCUGAUAACAAUCGCACCAUGCUCGAUACUUCUUGUGCUGGCUCUUUUAUGAUGAAGACUGUUGAAUUCAGAUGGAAUUUAUUGGAUAGAAUUAAACGCAACUCUGAAGAUUGGGACCUCGACGAAGGUAAGGAGUCAGGUAUGAAACCUAAGUUUGAUUGUGUUAAAUCUUUUAUGGACACUGAUAUUUUCCGUAAGUUUAGCACUAAAUAUGGACUUGACUCUGAGAUAGUAGCUUCUUUCUGUGAAUCUUUUGCUACUUAUGUUGAUCUCCCUAAGGAGAAGUGGUUUAAAUAUCAUCCUCCCAUAGAAGUAAAAGUAGCUGCACCUAUUAAAGUUGAAGAAAAGACUGUCACUUAUAAUGAUCCUAUUGUUCCUACUUCUUAUGUUGAGAAACCACCUUUCCCUGUUAGAAUAAAGGAUCAUGCUAAAGCUUCAACUGUUGUUUGUAAAAGCAAUAUUAGAACUUAUACAGCUCCUGAGAAAGUUAAAGUAGAACCUAAUAUUGCUAUUGUUAAAGAUCUCUUGUCUGAUAAUAUUGAUGGGCAUGUUAUUCAGUUCGAAGGUGAAACUGCUAGAAUUGCUAAGCCUUGUGAUAAAGAUAAACAUAGACAUGUGGUAGGCGUGCCUAUUAUUUCUGUUAAAAUAGGAGAUCAUUGUUAUCACGGCUUAUGUGAUAUGGGUGCUAGUGCUAGUGCAAUACCUAUUGACUUAUACAAAGAAAUUAUGCAUGACAUUGCACCUGUUGAGUUAGAAGAAAUUGAUGUUACUAUUAAACUUGGUAAUAGAGAUACUAUUUCACCAAUGGGAAUUGUUAGAGAUGUUGAAGUCUUGUGUGGGAAAACUAAAUAUCCUGCUGAUUUUCUUGUUGUUGGUUCCCCACAAGAUAGUUUUUGUCCCAUUAUAUUUGGUAGACCCUUCUUAAAUACUGUCAAUGCUACCAUAGAUUGCACAAAGAAUGUUGUUACUGUUGGCUUGGAUGAUAUGGUUCAUGAGUUUAAUUUCUCUAAAUUUAGUAAACAACAUCGUGAGGAAGAAUUACCUAGUAAGGAUGAAAUUAUUGGUCUUGCUUCUAUUGCCAUACCUCCUAGUGAUCCUUUAGAACACUAUUUGCUACAUGAUACGUCUCCAACGUAUCUAUAAUUUUCGAUUGCUCCAUGCUAUAUUAUCUACUGUUUUGGACUAUAUUGGGCUUUAUUUUCCACUUUUAUAUUAUUUUUGGGACUAACCUAUUAACUGGAGGCCCAGCCCAGAAUUGCUGUUUUUUUGCCUAUUUCAGUGUUUCGAAGAAACGGAAUAUCAAACGGAGUCCAAAUGGAAUAAAACCUUCGGGAACGUGAUUUUCUCACCGAACGUGAUCCAGGAGACUUGGACCCUGCUCCAAGGAACAAAAGAGGCGGUCACGAGGGUGGGGGGGGGCCCUGCCUCGUGGGCCCCUCGGUGCUCCUCUGGCGUACUCCUUCCUCCUAUAUAUACACACGUACCCCCAAACGAUCAGAACAGGAUCCAAAAACCUAAUUCCACCGCCGCAACUUUCUGUAUCCACGAGAUCCCAUCUUGGGGCCUGUUCUGGAGCUCCGCCGGAAGAGAGCCGUCAUCACGCAGGGCUUCUACAUCAUCAUAGCCUCUCCGAUGAAGUGUGAGUAGUUUACCUCAGACCUUCGGGUCCAUAGUUAGUAGCUAGAUGGCUUCUUCUCUCUCUUUGAAUCUCAAUACAAAGUUCUCUCCCUCUCUUGUGGAGAUCUAUUCGAUGUAAUCUUAUUUUUGCGGUGUGUUUGUUGAGAUCGAUGAAUUGUGGGUUUAUGAUCAAGUCUAUCUAUGAAUAAUAUUUGAAUCUUCUCUGAAUUCUUUUAUGUAUGAUUGGUUAUCUUUGCAAGUCUCUUCGAAUUAUCCGUUUGGUUUGGCCAACUAGAUUGGUAGUUCUUGCCAUGGGAGAAGUGCUUAGCUUUGGGUUCGAUCUUGCGGUGUCCUUUCCUAGUGACAGAAGGGGCAGCAAGGCACGUAUUGCAUCGUUGCCACCGAGGAUAACAAGAUGGGGUUUAUUUCAUAUUGCAUGAAUUUAUCUCUCUAAAUCAUGUCAUCUUCCUUAAGGUGUUACUCUGUUUUUAACUUAAUACUCUAGAUGCAUGCUGGAUAGCGGUCGAUGAGUGGAGUAAUAGUAGUAGAUGCAGAAUCGUUUCGAUCUACUUGUCACGGACGUGAUGCCUAUAUACAUGAUCAUGCCUAGAUAUUAUCAUAACUAUGCUCAAUUCUGUCAAUUGCUCAACAGUAAUUUGUUCACCCACCGUAGAAUACUUAUGCUCUUGAGAGAAGCCACUAGUGAAACCUAUGGCCCCCGUGUCUAUUCUCAGCAUAUCAAUCUCCAUUACUUUAAUCUUGCUUUGCUUUGUACUUUGCCUUUACUAUUUACUUUGCAUCUUUAUACCAAAAAUACCAAAAAUAUUAUAUCUAUCAGAUCUCACUCUCAUAAGUGACCGUGAAGGGAUUGACAACCCCUAAUCGCGUUGGUUGCGAGUAGCUAUCGUUUUGUGCAGGUACGAGGGACUUGAGCGUGGGCUCCUACUAGAUUGAUUCCUUGGUUCUCAAAAACUGAGGGAAAUACUUACACUACUCUGCUACAUCAUCCCUUCCUCUUCCGGGAAAACCAACGCAAGCUCGAGACGUAGCAGGAAGGAUUUCUGGCGCCGUUGCCAGGGAGUCUACGCAAAAAGUCAACAUACCAAGUACCCAUCACAAUCCCUAUCUCUCGCAUUACAUUAUUUGCCAUUUGCCUCUCGUUUUCCUCUCCCCCCAAUUCACCCUUGUCGUUUUAUUCGCCCUCUCUCUCUCUAUCCUCCCUCUCUAUUUGCCUCUUUUUCCCGUUUGCUCUUGUUUGCUUGUGUGCUAGUUUGCUUGUUUGUCGCGAUGACUCAAGAUAAUACCAAAUUGUGUGACUUCACCAAUACCAAUAAUAAUGAUUUCCUUAGUACUCGGAUUGCUCCUCUUUCCGAUGUUGAAUCUUGUGAAAUUAAUACUGCUUUGUUGAAUCUUGUUAUGAAAGAUCAAUUCGCCGGCCUUCCUAGUGAAGAUGCCGCUACUCAUCUGAAUAGCUUCGUUGAUUUAUGUGAUAUGCAAAAGAAAAAACAUGUCGAUAAUGAUGUCGUUAAAUUGAAGCUAUUUCCUUUUUCGCUUAGAGAUCGUGCUAAAGCUUGGUUUUCGUCUUUGCCUAAGAAUAGUAUUGAUUCAUGUAACAAGUGCAAAGAUGCUUUUAUCUCUAAGUAUUUUCCUCCCACUAAGAUCAUCUCUCUUAGAAACGAUAUUAUGAAGUUUAAGCAACUUGAUCAUGAACAUGUUGCACAAGCUUGGGAGAGAAUGAAAUUAAUGAUACGUAAUUGCCCUAGUCAUGGUUUGAAUUUGUGGAUGGUCAUACAAAAAUUUUAUGCCGGAUUGAAUUUUGCUUCUAGAAAUCUUUUAGAUUCGGCCGCGGGAGGCACUUUUAUGGAAAUCACUUUAGGAGAUGCUACUAAACUCCUAGAUAAUAUUAUGGUUAAUUAUUCUCAAUGGCAUACUGAAAGAUCUUCUAAUAAAAAGGUGCAUGCGAUAGAAGAAAUCAAUGUGUUGAGUGGAAAGAUGGAUGGACUUAUGAAAUUAUUUGCUACUAAGAGUGUUUCUUAUGAUCCUAAUGAUAUGCCUUUGUCUACUUUGAUUGAGAAUAACAAUGAAUCUAUGGAUGUGAAUUUUGUUGGUAGGAAUAAUUUUAGUAAGAACGCUUAUAGAGGGAAUUUUAAUCCUAGGCCAUAUCAUAGUAAUCCUUCUAAUAAUUAUGGGAAUUCCUACAACAACUCUCAUGGAAAUUAUAAUAAGAUGCCCUCUAAAUUUGAGAAUAGUGCUAAAGAGUUUAUGAAUUCACAAAAGAAUUUUAAUGCUUUGCUUGAAGAGAAAUUGCUUAAAGUUGAUGAUUUGGCUAGAAACGUUGAUAGAUUUUCUCUUGAGAUUGAUUGUUUAAAGCUUAGAUCUAUUCCUACUAAGCAUGAUAUCAAUGAGUCUCUCAAAGCCAUGAUAAUUUCCAUUGAUGAGUGCAAGGAAAGAACCGCUAGGAUGCGUGCUUCCAAAGAUGCCUUUAUUAAAGGGUGUUCUUCCAAUUCCUAUGAAAAUGAAGAUGAAGAUCUAAAAGUUAUUGAUGUGUCCCCUAUUAAAUCUUUGUUUUGCAAUAUAAAUCUUGAUGAAACUGAAUAUGAUCUUCCUUUACCUAGAAGGCGUUCUAAAAAUUUGGAGUAUUUAGAUCUUGAUGAUGACAUUGAUGAAAGUGUGAUAGAAAGAAAUAAAAAUCUAGAUGUUGCUAAACCCACUAUAUUGGAUUUCAAGGAAUUUAAUUAUGAAAGUUGCUCUUUAAUUGAUUGUAUUUCCUUGUUGCAAUCCGUGCUAAAUUCUGCACAUGCUUAUAGUCAAAAUAAAGCCUUCACCGAACAUAUUGUUGAUGCCUUGAUGCAAUCUUACGAAGAAAAACUUGAGUUGAAGGUUUCUAUCCCUAGAAAACUCUAUGAUGAGUGGGAACCAAGUAUUAAAAUUAAAAUUAAAGAUCAUGAGUUUUAUGCUUUGUGUGAUUUGGGUGCUAGUGCCUCUACUAUUCCCAAGACUUUGUGUGAUUUGCUAGAUUUCCGUAAUUUUGAUGAUUGCUCUCUAAACUUGCAUCUUGCGGAUUCCACUAUUAAGAAACCUGUGGGGAGGAUUAAUAAUGUUCUUAUUGUUGCAAAUAGAAAUUAUGUGCCCCUAGAUUUCAUUGUUCUUGAUAUAGAUUGCAAUCCUUCUUGCACUAUUAUUCUUGGUAGACCUUUCCUUAGAACGGUUGGUGCGAUUAUUGAUAUGAAGGAAGGGAAUAUUUAGAUUUCAAUUUCCAUUAAAAAGGGCAUGGAACACUUUCCUAGAAACAAAAUAAAAUUACCAUAUGAAACUAUCAUGAGAGCCACUUAUGGAUUGCCUAACAAAGAUGGCAAUACCUAGAUCUAUCCUCGCUUUUAUGCCUAGCUAGGGGCGUUAAACGAUAGCGCUUGUUAGGAGGCAACCCAAUUUUAUUUUUAUUCCUUGCUUUUUGCUCCUGCUUAGUAAUAAAUAAAAGCCUAUGUUUUGGUUGUGUUUUUUGUGUUUAAUUAGUGUUUGUGCCAAGUAGAACCGUUGGGAAGACUUGGGGAAAGUCUUGUUGAACUUGCUGUAAAAAAACAGAAACUUUAGCGCUCACGAGAACUGCUAUCAUUUUUAUUUGGAGAGUUCUAUUUAGUUAAUUAUUUUUGCAGAUGAUUAAUAGAUAAAUUCCUAACGUCCAGAAAUUUAUUUUAGAAUUUUUGGGGUUCCAGAUCUUGCGCUAGCUACAGAUUACUACAGACUGUUCUGUUUUUGACAGAUUCUUUUUUUCGUGUGUUGUUUGCUUAUUUUGAUGAAUCUAUGGCUAGUAAAAUAGUUUAUAAUCCAUAGAGAAGUUUGAAUACAGUAGGUUUAACACAAAUAUAAAUAAAGAAUGAGUUCAUUACAGUACCUUGAAGUGGUCUUUUGUUUUCUUUCGCUAACGGAGCUCACGAGUUUUCUAUUUUGAGUUUUGUGUUGUGAAGUUUUCAAGUUUUGAGUGAAUUCUUUUGAUGGAUCAUGGAACAAGGAGUGGCAAGAGCCUAAGCUUGGUGAUUCCCAUGGCACCCCCAAGAUAAUCCAAGGACACCAAGAAGUCAAAGCUUGGGGAUGCCCCGGAAGGCAUCCCCUCUUUCGUCCACUUCCAUCGGUAAUUUACUUGGAGCUAUAUUUUUAUUCACCAACAUGAUAUGUGUUUUGCUUGUAGCAUCUUGUAUUAUUUGUGUCUUUGUGUCUUAGUAUGCCACAAUCAUCCUUGCUGUACACACCUUUUGAGAGAGCCAUACAUGAAUUAAAAUUUGAUAGAAUACUCUAUGUGCUUCACUUAUAUCUUUUGAGCUAAGUAGUUUUGCUCUAUGUGCUUCACUUAUAUCUUUUGAGCUAAGUAAUUUUGCUCUAUGUGCUUCACUUAUAUCUUUUGAGCGUUAUAAUUUUGCUCUAUGUGCUUCACUUAGAUCUUUUAGAGCACGGUGGUGGAUUUGUUUUAAAGAAACUAUUGAUCUCUCAUGCUUCACUUAAAUUAUUUUGAGAGUCUCUUAAUAGCAUGGUAAUUUGCUUAAUAAUAAUAUGCUUGGUAUUCAAGAUUUGUGAAACUUUCUUUUGAGUGUGUUGAAUACUAAGAAAAGAUUGAAGCAUGAUAAUUGUUUUGAGAUAUGGAGGUGAUAAUAUUAAAGUCAUGCUAGUUGAGUAGUUGUGAAUUUAAAGAAUACUUGUGUUAAAGUUUGUGAUUCCCUUAGUAUGCACGUAUGGUGAACCGUUAUGUGAUGAAGUCGGAGCAUGAUUUAUUUAUUGAUUGUCUUCCUUAUGAGUGGCGGUCGGGGACGAGCGAUGGUCUUUUCCUACCAAUCUAUCCCCCUAGGAGCAUGCGCGUAAUACUUUGCUUUGAUAACUUCUAGAUUUUUGCAAUAAGUAUAUGAGUUCUUUAUGACUAAUGUUGAGUCCAUGGAUUAUACGCACUCUCACCCUUCCACCUUUGCUAGCCUCUCUAAUACCGCGCACCUUUCGCCGGUAUCAUACACCUACCAUAUACCUUCCUCAAAACAGCCACCAUACCUACCUAUUAUGGCAUUUCCAUAGCCAUUCCGAGAUAUAUUGCCAUGCAACUUUCCACCAACUAGUUCAUCAUGACACACUCCACCAUUGUCAUAUUGCAUAUCCCGGUACACCGCCGGAUGCAUUCACAUAGAUUCAUAUUUUGUUCUAAGUAUCGAGUUGUAAUUGUUGAGUUAUAACAAAAAUAAAAGUGUGAUGAUCAUCAUUAUUAGAGCAUUGUCCCAGUGAGGAAAGAAUAAUGGAGACUAUGAUUCCCCCAUAAGUCAGGAUGAGACUCCGGACGAAAAAUAAAUAAAAGAGGCCAAAGAAGCCCAAAUAAAAAAAGAGGCCAUAAAAAAAAAGAAAAGGCCCAAAUAAAAAAAUGAGAGAAAAAGAGAGAAGGGACAAUGUUACUAUCCUUUUACCACACUUGUGCUUCAAAGUAGCACCACUUCAUAGUAGAGAGUCUCUCAUGUUAUCACUUUCAUAUACUAGUGGGAAUUUUUCAUUAUAGAACUUGGCUUGUAUAUUCCAAUGAUGGGCUUCCUCAAAUUGCCCUAGGUCUUCAUGAGCAAGCAAGUUGGAUGCACACCCACUUAGUUUCUUUUUGAGCUUUCAUAUACUUAUAGCUCUAGUACAUCCGUUGCAUGGCAAUCCCUACUCACUCACAUUGAUAUCUAUUGAUGGGCAUCUCCAUAGCCCGUUGAUAUGCCUAGUUGAUGUGAUAUUAUCUUCUCCUUUUUGUCUUCUCCACAACCACCAUUCUAUUCCACCUAUAGUGCUAUAUCCAUGGCUCAUGCUCAUGUAUUGCGUGAAGAUUGAAAAAGUUAGAGUAUGAAACAAUUGCUUGGCUUGUCAUCGGGGUUGUGCAUGAUUUAAAUACUUUGUGUGGUGAAGAUAGAGCAUAGCCAGACUAUAUGAUUUUGUAGGGAUAACUUUCUUUGGCCAUGUUAUUUUGAGAAGACAUAAUUGCUUUGUUAGUAUGCUUGAAGUAUUAUUAUUUUUAUGUCAAUAUGAACUUUUGUCUUCAAUCUUUCGAAUCUGAAUAUUCAUAUCACAAUUAAGAAGAUUUACAUUGAAAUUAUGCCAAGUAGCACUCCGCAUCAAAAAUUCUCUUUUUAUCAUUUACCUACUCGAGGACGAGCAGGAAUUAAGCUUGGGGAUGCCUGAUACGUCUUCGACGUAUCUAUAAUUUUGAUUGCUCCAUGCUAUAUUAUCUACUGUUUUGGACUAUAUUGGGCUUUAUUUUCCACUUUUAUAUUAUUUUUGGGACUAACCUAUUAACUGGAGGCCCAACCCAGAAUUGCUGCUUUUUUUUGCCUAUUUUAGUGUUUCGCAGAAACGAAAUAUCAAACGGAGUCCAAACAGAAUAAAACCUUCGGGAACGUGAUUUUCUCACCGAACAUGAUCCAGGAGACUUGGACCCUGCUCCAAGGAACAAAAGAGGCGGUCACGAGGGUGGGGGGCACCCCCCCUAGGGCGCGCCCCCUGCCUCGUGGGUCCCUCGGUGCUGCUCCGGCGUACUCCUUCCUCCUAUAUAUACACACGUACCCCCAAACGAUCAGAACAUGAGCUAAAAACAUAAUUCCACCGCCGCAACUUUCUGUAUCCACGAGAUCCCAUCUUGGGGCCUGUUCCGGAGCUCUGCCAGAAGAGGGACGUCAUCACGGAGGGCUUCUACAUCAUCAUAGCCUCUCCGAUGAAGUGUGAGUAGUUUACCUCAGACCUUCGGGUCCAUAGUUAGUAGCUAGAUGGCUUCUUCUCUCUCUUUGAAUCUCAAUACAAAGUUCUCCCCCUCUCUUGUUGAGAUCUAUUCGAUGUAAUCUUAUUUUUGCGGUGUGUUUGUUGAGACCAAUGAAUUGUGGGUUUAUGAACAAGUCUAUCUAUGAGUAAUGUUUGAAUCUUCUCUGAAUUCUUUUAUGUAUGAUUGGUUAUCUUUGCAAGUCUCUUCGAAUUGUCCGUUUGGUUUGGCCAACUAGAUUGGUAGUUCUUGUCAUGGGAGAAGUGCUUAGCUUUGGGUUCGAUCUUGCGGUGUCCUUUCCCAGUGACAAAAGGGGCAGCAAGGCAUAUAUUGCAUCGUUGCCAUCGAGGAUAACAAGAUGGGGUUUAUUUCAUAUUGCAUGAAUUUAUCUCUCUACAUCAUGUCAUCUUGCUUAAGGUGUUACUCUGUUUUUAACUUAAUACUCUAGAUGCAUGCUGGAUAGCGGUCGAUGAGUGGAGUAAUAGUAGUAGAUGCAGAAUCAUUUCGAUCUACUUGUCACGGAUGUGAUGCCUAUAUAGAUGAUCAUGCCUAGAUAUUCUCAUAACUAUGCUCAAUUCUGUCAAUUGCUCAAUAGUAAUUUGUUCACCCACCAUAGAAUACUUAUGCUCUUGAGAGAAGCCACUAGUGAAACCUAUGGCCCCCGGGUCUAUUCUCAUCAUAUCAAUCUCCAUUACUUUAAUCUUGCUUUGCUUUUUUAUUUUGCCUUUACUUUUUACUUUGCAUCUUUAUACCAAAAAUACCAAAAAUAUUAUAUCUAUCAGAUCUCACUCUCGUAAGUGACCGUGAAGGGAUUGACAACCCCUAAUUGCGUUGGUUGCGAGUAGCUAUCAUUUUGUGCAGGUACGAGGGACUUGAGCGUGGCCUCCUACUGGAUUGAUACCUUGGUUCUCAAAAACUGAGGGAAAUACUUACGCUACUCUGCUGCAUCAUCCCUUCCUCUUCGGGGAAAACCAACACAAGCUCAAGACGUAGCACUAGACCAUGAAAAUGAUAUGUUCAUGAAUGAAAGAAGGGAAAUAGAUGAAGUAUUCUUUAAACAGGAACCUAUUCUGCAACACAAUUUGCCUGUUGAAAUUUUAGGGGAUCCUCCUCCACCCAAGGGUGAUCCCGUGUUUGAGCUUAAACCUUUGCCUGAUAAUCUUAAAUAUGCUUAUCUUGAUGAAAAGAAGAUAUAUCCUGUUAUUAUUAGUGCUAACCUUUCAGAGCAUGAAGAAGAAAGAUUAUUGAAAACUCUGAAGAAGCAUUGUGCUGCUAUUGGAUAUACUCUUGAUGAUCUUAAGGGCAUUAGUCCCACCCUAUGUCAACAUAAAAUAAAUUUGGAAGCAGAUGCCAAACCAGUUCGUGAUCCUCAACGACGUCUGAAUCCUAAAAUGAAAGAAGUGGUAAGAAAAGAAAUACUAAAGCUUCUGGAGGCAGGUAUAAUCUAUCCUGUUGCUGAUAGUGAGUGGGUAAGUCCCAUCCAUUGUGUCCCUAAGAAGGGAGGUAUUACUGUUGUUCCUAAUGAUAAAGAUGAAUUGAUUCCACAAAGAAUUAUCACAGGUUAUAGGAUGGUAAUUGAUUUCCUCAAAUUAAAUAAAGCUACUAAGAAAGAUCAUUACCCCUUACCUUUUAUUGAUCAAAUGCUAGAAAGAUUAUGCAAACAUAGACACUAUUGCUUUCUAGAUGGUUAUUUUGGUUUCUCUCAAAUACCUGUGUCGGCUAGAGAUCAAUCAAAGACUACUUUUACAUGCCCAUUUGGUCCUUUUGCUUAUAGACGUAUGCCUUUUGGUUUAUGUAAUGCACCUGCUACCUUUCAAAGAUGCAUGAUGGCUAUAUUCUCUGACUUUUGUGAAAAGAUUUGUGAGGUUUUCAUGGACGACUUUUCCGUCUAUGGUUCCUCUUUUGAUGAUUGCUUGAGAAAUCUUGAUCGAGUUUUGCAGAGAUCUGAAGAAACUAAUGUUGUCUUGAAUUGGGAAAAGUGCCACUUUAUGGUUAAUGAAGGUAUUGUCUUGGGGCAUAAAGUUUCUGAAAGAGGUAUUGAAGUUGAUAAAGCCAAGGUUGAUGCUAUUGAAAAGAUGCCAUGUCCCAAGGACAUCAAAGGUAUAAGAAGUUUCCUUGGUCAUGCCGGAUUUUACAGGAGGUUCAUUAAGGACUUCUCAAAAAUUUCCCGGCCUCUGACUAAUUUACUGCAAAAAGAUACACCAUUUGUCUUUGAUGAUGAUUGUGUAGAAGCAUUUGAAAUACUUAAGAAAGCAUUAGUCUCUGCACCUAUUGUUCAGCCACCUGAUUGGAAUUUACCCUUUGAAAUUAUGUGUGAUGCUAGUGAUUAUGCUAUAGGUGCUGUUAUAGGGCAAAGAGUUGAUAAGAAAUUAAAUGUUAUUCAUUAUGCUAGUAAGACUCUAGACAAUGCUCAAAGAAAUUAUGCUACUGCUGAAAAAGAGCUUUUAGCAGUUGUAUUUGCUUGUGAUAAGUUCAGAUCUUAUAUUGUUGAUUCUAAAGUAACUAUUCAAACUGAUCAUGCUGCUAUUAAAUACCUUAUGGAAAAGAAAUAUGCUAAACCUAGACUUAUUAGAUGGGUUCUCUUGCUACAAGAAUUUGAUUUGCAUAUUGUUGAUAGAAAGGGAGCUGAGAACCUCGUUGCAGACAACUUGUCUAGGUUAGAAAAUAUUCUCGAUGACCCACUACCUAUUAAUGAUAGCUUUCCUGAUGAACAAUUAAAUGUUAUAAGUACUUCUCGUAGUACUCCAUGGUAUGCUGAUUAUGCUAAUUAUAUUGUUGCUAAGUUUAUACCACCUAGCUUCACAUACCAGCAAAAGAAAAAGUUUUUCUAUGAUUUAAGACAUUACUUUUGGGAUGACCCACAUCUUUAUAAAGAAGGAGUAGAUGGUGUUAUUAGACGUUGUGUACCUGAGCAUGAACGGGAACAGAUCCUACGCAAGUGUCACUCCGAGGCUUAUGGAGGACACCAUGCUGGAGAUAGAACUGCACAUAAGGUAUUGCAAUCUGGUUUUUAUUGGCCCACUCUCUUCAAGGAUGCCCGUAAGUUUGUCUUGUCUUGUGAUGAAUGUCAAAGAAUUGGUAAUAUUAGUAGACGUCAAGAAAUGCCUAUGAAUUAUUCUCUUGUUAUUGAACCGUUUGAUGUUUGUGGCUUUGAUUAUAUGGGACUUUUUCCUGCCUCUAAUGGAUACACACAUAUUUUAGUAGUUGUUGAUUACAUUACUAAGUGGGUAGAAGCUAUUCCAACUAGUAGUGCUGAUCAUAACACUUCUAUUAAAAUGCUUAAGGAAGUUAUUUUCCCGAGGUUUGGAGUCCCUAGAUAUUUAAUGACUGAUGGUGGUUCACACUUUAUUCAUGGCGCUUUCCGUAAAAUGCUUGCUAAAUAUGAUGUUAAUCAUAGAAUUGCAUCUCCCUAUCACCCCCAGUCUAGUGGUCAAGUAGAGUUGAGCAAUAGAGAGCUCAAAUUAAUUUUGCAAAAGACUGUUAAUAGGUCAAGAAAGAAUUGGUUCAAGAAACUUGAUGAUGCAUUAUGGGCUUAUAGAACUGCAUAUAAAAAUCCUAUGGGUAUGUCUCCGUAUAAAAUGGUUUAUGGAAAAGCAUGUCACUUACCUCUCGAACUAGAACAUAAGGCAUAUUGGGCUAUUAAAGAGCUUAACUAUGAUUUUAAACUUGCCAGUGAGAAGAGGUUAUUUGAUAUUAGCUCACUUGAUGAAUGGAGAACCCAAGCUUAUGAAAAUGCCAAGUUGUUUAAAGAAAAAGUUAAAAGAUGGCAUGACAAAAGGAUAAAAAAGCAUGAGUUUAAUGUAGGUGAUUAUGUAUUGCUAUACAAUUCUCGUUUAAGAUUUUUUGCAGGAAAACUUCUCUCUAAAUGGGAAGGCCCCUAUGUUAUCGAAGAGGUCUAUCGUUCCGUUGCCAUAAAGAUCAACAACUUCGAGGGCACAAAUCCGAAGGUGGUAAACAGUCAAAGAAUUAAACAUUAUAUCUCAGGUAAUCCCAUAAAUGUUGAAACCGAUAUUAUUGAAACCGUAACCCCGAAGGAAUACAUAAGGGACACUUUCCGGAACGUUUCAGACUCCGAAAAGGAAUAGGUAUGUGGUACGGUAAGUAAACCGACUCCAAAACAAUUUUUAAGGCAAUAUUUCUCCGUUUUGGAAUAUUUAGAAAAAUAGAAAAAUAAGUAGCACUCCGGGAAGGACACGAGGGCCCCACGAGGAUGGUGGGCGCGCCCCCUACCUCGUCAACACCUCGUGUGCCUUCUGGACUCCGUUUUCUUGCACGUUACGUAUUUUGGUUGGUAAAAAUUCAUUAUAUAUUCUCCCGAAGGUUUUGACUCCCGUAUAACGCAAAUAUCCUCUGUUUUCGUUUCAAGUUGUCCCGUUGCAGAUUAAAUCAACAUGUCUUCCCAGGAUUCGGAAGGAGAAAGCUAUGUGGAUGAUUACUUAGCAAAUCCCAAGGUCUAUGGAGAUGUGGAACACGAUGGAUGGACCAUGAAGGAAGAAGAGGACUUUGAACCCAAGGGGAAGGAGGAGACGAGCUCAGAUGAAGAUGAAGCACCAUUACCUCAACCUGGGGACAUGCACGUGGAAUUCAAAAAGUCAAGUCUCCCUGAUAGGGUAAAGAAACCCAAGUUCGAGUUUAUCCCUUUUCGUCUCUUGCAGGAAAAUAAGCAGGACCUAUGCAAGAGGAUAUUAAACCUGGAGUGGGAGAUUGAUGAUCUGAGGGAUCAAAAUGCCGUCCUCAAGCGCAAAUUAAGGGAGAAGCCUAAGCCAUCAACUAAGCCAACAUCAUCACCACCUUCUUCACCGACAAAGGAGAUAUAAUCACAUGGGUAUGGGCACUCCCCUUGGCAACUGCCAAGCUUGGGGGAGGUGCCCCGGUAUCGUAUCACAAUCACAACUCCUAUCUUUACCGUUUUUCUUAGUUCGAUCCUAUUAGUAGUAUCUUGAUUUAGUAGAAUAAAGUUUAUGGCAUGAUCUAGUUUUGAGCUUUGCUUUAUGAUCUCUCUUUGUAAUCGAGUCCGUAAGCUAUAUAUAAUAAAGAUUAGUGUUGAGUCAAAGGCUUGAUUAUUUUGCCAUGAUCUUGGGAGAAUAAAAGAAAAGAGAUAAAGAAUAAAAAGAAACAAAAAGUUCAUAUUGAUUUUAUUGAGAGUAAUGACUUCACAUAGAAAGAGUAUGAUGAUUAAAAGUUGUUGGGAGUUGGCAAACAUAGCUUUGGUCAUUGUUGCAAUUAAUAGGAAGUAAUAAGGAAAGAGAGGUUUUCACAUAUAGAUAUAUUAUCAUUGACAUCUUUUAUGAUUGGGAGCACUCAUUAAAAUAUGACAUGCUAAAGAGUUGAUGUUGGACAAGGAAGACAACGUAAUGAGUUAUGUCUUUCUUAUAUCUGAGAUAAAGUAUGUUGUCAUGGAUCCCCUAACUUGUUGAGCUUGCCUUUCCCCCUCAUGCUAGCCAAAUUCUCAGCACCAAGUAGAAAUACUACUUGUGCUUCCAAAUACCCUUAAACCAGUUUUGCCAUGAGAGUCCACCAUAUCUACCUAUGGAUUGAGUAAGAUCCUUCAAGUAAGUUGUCAUCGGUGCAAAGCAAUAAAAAUUGCUCUAAAUAUGUGUGAUUGAUUGGUGUGGGAGAAAUAAGCUUUAUACGAUCUUGUGAUGUGGAAGUAAUAAAAGCGACGGACUGCAUAAUAAAGGUUCAUAUCACAAGGGGCAAUAUAAAGUGACGUUCUUUCGCAUUGAGAUUUUAUGCAUCCAACCAUAAAAGCGCAUGGCAACCUCUGCUUCCCUCUGCGAAGGGCCUAUCCUUUAUUAUUAUCUUCUACCUUAUGCAAGAGUCAUGGUGAUCUUCACCUUUUCUUUUUCAUUUUAUCCUUUGGCAAGCACAGAAUGUUGGAAAGAACAUGAUAUAUAUAUCUAAUUGGAUGUAGGGGAGCAUGAAACAUUAUUGUUGACAUUACCCUUGAGGUAAAAGGUUGUGGGGCAAAACUAUAAGCCCCUAUCUUUCUCUGUGUCCGAUUAAAACUCCGUAACCACAAGUAUUGCAUGAGUGUUAGCAAUUAUGGAGGACUAAAUGAUAGUUGAGUAUGUGGACUUGCUUUUUAGCUCUGACAUAGACUCUUUCCGAUGUUAUGAUAAAUUGCAAUUGCUUCAAUGACUGAGAUUAUAGUUUGUCGGAGCCCAAUAAGGUUUAUGAUUUAUACUUUUGCAUUGUGAAUAGAUCAUCACUUGAACAUAAGUAAUCAUACGACAAAAUCUAUAUAAGUUGUUGUUAUGAGAAUAAUCAUGAUGCCUUCAUGUCCGUAUUUUAUUUUUAUCGACACCUCUACCUCUAAACAUGAGGACAUAUUUAUUGUUAUCGGCUUUUCGCUUGAGGACAAGCGAUGUCUAAACUUGGCGGAGUUGAUACGUCCAUUUUGCAUCAUGCUUUUAUAUCGAUAUUUAUUGCAUUAUGGACUGUUAUUUCACUUUAUGUCACAACACUUAUGGCUAUUCUCUCUUAUUUUACAAGGUUUACGUAAGGAGGGAGAAUGCCGGUAGUUGGAAUUCUGGGCUGGAAAAGGAGCAAAUAUUAGAGACCUAUUCUGCGCAACUCCAAAAGUCCUGAAACUCCACGGAACAUCUUAAAAUAAAUAAAGAAAAAUCCUCGCCAAAGAUGAAGGCCAGGGGGCCCACACCCUGCUCAUGAGGGUGGGGGCGCCCCCCCCUAGGGCAUGCCCCCCUACCUCGUGGGCCCCCUGGUGGCUCUCCAACGUCCAUCUUCUCCUAUAUGAAGUCUUUUGAUGAGAAAAAAAUCAGAAGGAACUUUUCGGGACGAGACUCCGCCGCCACGAGGCGGAACCUUGGGGAACCAAUCUAGAGCUCCGGGAGAGCUGUUCUGCCGGGGAUACUUCCCUCCGGGAGGGGGAAAUCAUCACCAUCGUCAUCACCAAUGCUCCUCUCAUCGGGAGAGGGCAAUCUCCAUCAACAUCUUCACCAGCACCAUCUCAUCUCCAAACCCUAGUUCAUCUCUUGUAUCCAAUUCUUGUCUCAAAGUCCGGGAUUGUUGCUAGUAGUGUUGAUUACUACUUGUAGUUGAUGCUAGUUGGUUUAUUUGGUGGAAGAUCAUAUGUUCAGAUCCUAUAUGCAUAUUAUUACCCCUCUGAUUAUGAACAUGAAUAUGCUUUGUGAGUAAUUACGUUUGUUCUUGAGGAGAAGGGAGAAGUCUUGCUAUUAGUAGUCAUGUGAAUUUGGUAUUCGUUUGAUAUUUUGAUAAGAUGUAUGUUGUCUAGCCUCUAGCGGUGUUAUGUGAACGUCGACUACAUAACACUUCACCAUUAUUUGGUCCUAGAGGAAGGCAUUGGGAAGUAAUAAGUAGAUGAUGGGUUGCUAGAGUGAUAGAAGCUUAAACCCUAGUUUAUGCGUUGCUUCGUAACGGGCUGAUUUGGAUCCAUAUGUUUCAUGCUAUGGUUAGGUUUACCUUAAUACUUUUGUUGUAGUUGCGGAUGCUUGCAAUAGAGGUUAAUCAUAAGUGGGAUGCUUGUUCAAGUAAGAACAACACCCAAGCACCUGUCCACCCCCAUAUCAAAUUAUCAAAGUAUCAAACGCGAAUCAUAUGAACGUGAUGAAAACUAGCUUGAUGAUAUUCCCAUGUGUCCUCGGGAGCGCUUUUCCUAUUAUAAGAGUUUGUUCCGGCUUGUCCUUUGCUACAAAAGGAUUGGGCCACCUUGCUGCACUUUAUUUACUUUUGUUACUUGUUUCUGAUUACAAUUUAUCUUAUCACAAAACUAUAUGUUACCACUUAUUUCAGUACUUGCAGAGAAUACCUCGCUGAAAACCGCUUAUCAUUUCCUUCUGCUCCUCGUUGGGUUCGACACUCUUACUUAUCAAAAGGACUAUGAUAGAUCCCCUAUACUUGUGGGUCAUCACCUGGGCGGGGGAGGAGGCGAAGAUGACAGGGGUGGAACCGUCAGGGGAUCAGGGCGAUGACGCCGGGAGGACCUGAAAGGCUUGCGUCCGAGGCGUCGAGGCGGUCAUUGGGUGACGGGGGAGCAGCAGCGUGGGCACGGCCGGCCCCAGCCCCACCCCUGGUAGCCAGAGUGGGAGGCUGGUCGUGGGGGGCUGUCCUCGAAGUCGUCCUCGUCCUUGUCCUAGCCAGAGGGGUGGCCGUGGCGAGGGCCCCGGUCGCUGCGGUGGCCUCCAGCGCCGCCCCCAUCUGGGCUUCCCCCCUAGAAGCUGUUGCCGAGGAUUCGGGGGCGGCCAAUGUGGUAGGCUGGCUCGGGGGAGAUGCGGAGGUCGAAGCCCUGGUCGUUGAAGAACACACAAACCGUGCACGAAGCCUGGAUGAGUCAAGGGACUUGACCUUGAUCCGGACCUCCUCCUCCUUGCGGGGGGAGAGCUCGUCAACCACGACCACUGUUGGUAUCAAAACCGGCGGAUCUCGGGUAGGAGGUCCCGAACUAUGCGUCUGAGGCAGAUGGUAACAGGAGGCAGGGGACACAAUGUUUUACCCAGGUUUGGGCCCUCUUGAUGGAGGUAAAACCCUACGUCCUGCUUGAUUUAUUCUUGAUGAUAUGAGUAUUACAAGAGUUGAUCUACCACUAGAUCGGAGAGGCUAAACCCUAGAAGCUAGCCUAUGGUACGAUUGUAUGUUAUUCUACAGACUAAAACCCUCCGGUUUAUAUAGACACCAGAAAGGGCUAGGGUUACACAAGGUCGGUUACAAAGGAGGAGAUACACAUAUCCGUAUUGCCUAGCUUGCCUUCCACGCCAAGUAGAGUCCCAUCCGGACACGAGACGAAGUCUUCAAUUUUUCAUCUUCAUAGCCCAACAGUCCGGCCAAAGGAUAUAGUCCGACUGUCCGGAGACCCCCUAAUCCAGGACUCCCUCAGUAGCCCCUGAACCAGGCUUCAAUGACGAUGAGUCCGAAGCGCAGUGUUGUCUUCGGCAUUGCAAGGCGGGUUCCUCCUCCGAACACACCACAGAAGAAUUUGAAUACAAGGAUAGUGUCCGAUCCUGCAAAAUAAGUUCAUAUACCACAGUAGAGAGAAUAAUAUUUCCACAAAUCUUAAUCUGCUGACACGUUUUGGCAACCUGACAUCAUGCCAUGGCUCGGUGAUUAUUCGAACCGUUUUUAUAACCAGCUCCACACACAACGCGAGGCGGUUUCUUGACACGUCUUGUCAAAGCAGAGAUCAUGUUCCCCUAAUUACGGGAUUCUCAUCAAUACGGUCGUGGGUAACCCAACCGUGUCUAGGACUCCUAGAUUAUAGGCAAGUCCAAAACGGCUACGGAGAGGACACUUGAUAUUCACCUUCUUUAUAAAGGGACAAGGCUUUUAUUUUUUUCCCUCCCGUGCUCAAUCGAAUCCUUCCCCCGCCUCGAGUUCUAACACCCAAAUCCUAGGUCAGGUGCUUCGGACCUUCAAUCAUUUCCGGAUCUAGCCUUCAAGGCCGGUGGAUGCCCUCCUCCAUUACGGAAGAGGAUAUCAAGAAGUUGAGGGAGGCCAGAUACCUGACCGUCGAAAUUUCGCAUAGGCUGCCCACCCGAGGGUAGGUCAUCCCUACUCCCGAACCCGACGAGAGCGUCGCGUUCGUCUCCCACUUCCUCCAAGGUCUAGGCCUCACUCUGGAUCCCUUCGUUAGGGGUUUGAUGUUCUAUUACGGGCUAGAUUUCCACGAUCUAGCCCCAGACUCCUUUCUCCACAUCACGGCAUUUAUUGUCGUAUGUGAGGCCUUCCUCCGCAUUACCCCUCACUUCGGCCUGUGGAUCAAGACCUUUGUUGUGAAGCCAAAGAUGGUCGAGGGGCAGCAUGUAGCGUGCGGAGGCGCAUUAAUAAGCAAGAUCGCUGGAGCUCCAUGGCCAAAGGGUUCCAUUCCAGAGGUGUCUGGAUUAUGGCAACGGGAGUGGUUUUACAUCACAGCUCCCAGAAGUGCCAAGUGGGCGGCUGCCCCUGCUUUCCGCUCGGGCCCUCCACCAUGACUGAUGUCAUGGAUUAGCAGAGGGCUGAGCUGGGGUCCAGCCAAGGACGUGCCUGUACUGCAGAGCCGCAUUCAAGAUCUCUUCGAAGGAGAUUUCGGUCUGGUUAUGGUGGUGCAAUUCAUGUUGGUUCGACGAAUCCAGCCAUGCAAACGCCGGCCCCUCCGCAUGUGGGAGUUCAACCUAGAAGGACCGUGCACUAUUCAGAAUUUCCUCGGCCUGACGCACGAGGAGAUGUAUAAAUCAUUCUUCGGACCCCAAAUAGAGUGUCCGGACACUACCGAGGACGUGGGCCUGAGCAGCAACCGUACCGCCGACCAAGUAAGUAAUCCUCUAGCCGAACACACCGUUGUUCAUUUAUCAUGACGUCAUUCUGAGAAAUUGCUCUUUGACCAGGACUGGCUAACAAAGGCAAAGAUGAUUCGGUGUUCGGCCCCCCUUCCCGAGGGUUUGGAAAAUCCGGUACUGGAAAAGAUGCUCGAGCUAGCACCUUGCCUGGAGCCCUCAAAGGAAGAUAAAGGGGGGAAUAAAUAGGGCAAAAGCGGAUCUCCACCGCUACCUAUUCCGACCGAGGGAACGGGCGCCUCCGUGAGGGAGGAUAACCAAGGGGAGGAAUCUGACAUUCUCUCACCCCGGGAAGGAAGAGGACUACCUCUGAAGAUCCGGAAACCAAGGUUUCCAAACGGGAGAAGAAAUCUCCACCAGAGGGUCCUGCCUUGGAGGGUGCUCUUGCCGCACAAAGUCCGCGCGGGGAUCUGCCCUCUAACGAGCUGUAAGUAAUAAAAAAGUACUUUAAUAGUGAAGAUAUACUACCUUACCUCUGAGGAAAAUAACCGAAGCAUUUAUCUUGCAGUUUGGAUCUUAGCCCUUCUCAGCAGAGCUCGUCUUCAGGGGAUCUUCUUCCGGAGAUGAUGGAGAGCGAAACGCCUCCCCCGGACUCCCCCGCUCAAGAAGCGGGCGACCUUGAAGUGUCGUCAGGCCCCUCCGGAUCCAGUGAGGCCAGAAGAUAAUCCUAUAGUCACCCGAAGUCCCCAGCGUCCAACUCUUGAAGAGAGCAAACAAAAGAGUCCGGCACUGUCUGGUAUGCGGUCGGACGUACCGAGGGAGAUGUUGGAUCGAGCGGCCAUCUCAGAAGAACACCGUACGUUGAUGGGUAUGGUGAUGGAAAGAAUUUUGUCCGCCGAAAGCGGAUUGCAUGAAGCUUUUAUGAGUCUACUGACAGGCUUUGAGGUACGUGAAAUGAUAUACUUUUUGAUAGUACCGCACAUUUUUAGGUGUGCCCUGUGUAGAUAGUAGCCCCUGAGACUCUGGUUGUCGUCGAGAACGGCGGCAAACAGAGGAUCGUAGUCCCAGGUAAUAACCAAAACGCCUUUAUGUGCAGGUGGUUGAAGCUCUAGUGGCUAGCCGGACUAAUGAGUUUGCCGAACUAAAGCGGCAACUGGAUGCAGUAGAUGCCGACAUCGAGCUUGUUAACAAGCGGCUUGAUGAGGCACAGGGUAAGUAAUGUUUUCUGGUGAAUGUCACAUAGUAAGAGCAACAUGAUGCCAGUAUCUUUAAUAUGUUGUGACUGCAGAUGGAGCUGCCACCGUGGAGACCCUUCGGGCGAAACUUGCCCAAGCCAAAGAACAAGCAAGGAGUAGUAAUGCGGCUGCUUUGAAGGCGGCGGCCGAAGAGUUGAGAGCCGAGAAGGCCGCGCAUUGUGAGAGCAAAGAGAAAAUGGCCAAGAUGACUGUAAAGUUAAAAGACACUGCCGACCGUUACCAGUUCCUUGAAGAAGAAAACCUAGUGAAGGCGACGGACCUUGAAAAGGCCACGAUGGCGACCAAAGACACCCGCUCUGCUAUGAGAGCGAAGAAGGAGGAGCUGCGUGAAGCCGGGGAUAUUGCGGCUGGGAAGCCCUUUAUGCUGCGGAGGAAGUUCGGAGAUCCGCGGUAUGCCCCUCUGGAUCGGCUGUGGAGUUCGGCAGACGCAUAUAUGGACUUGGCGGCGAGCGCUAUCGAUGCGGCCGAAUACUUCCGAGAUCAAACAGAUCGUGAAGUGGACAAGCUGUUCUGGUCGUAGUUUAACGUUCCAAAGCGUCCGCUUCCAUUGGCUGAUCAGCUAGCCGAAUGGGCCGAACUCAAUAGGUAGUCCGGACUCGCCAUGAGGUCCGUCGUAGAUCAUCUGUGCCCGGAAAAACCGAAGCCGAACAGCUAUUUCAGCUUAGUGCAACAGUUCCUUGGAGUGGUGCCGCGCAUCAAUGCGAUGAAGAGGUCGGCGUGUAUAGAAGGCUCGCAGAUGGCCCUUGCCCGUGUCAAAGCAUACUGGGCGGAGAUGGAUGCUACCACUGUUGCAGCGCAGGGUUCGGCCAUAGGCCGAGUGGCUGUUGAGCACUAUUUCGAAGAAGUUCUCGAGGGUGCUCGUUUGAUAGAGGCCCAGUGCUCGAAGAAUAUUAUGUUUGAGUGACAUGUAUUCCCAUUGUAAACACAAUGUUUUUAUGAAAUUUAUUAAGGCUGUAUUUAUACUUUUGCCUGGAAGUAAUAUGAUGCCUCCUGUGCGGCCGUUUAUGUAUAUAUGUAUAUAACCUGAAAGAUUGCAGUCGUCGGCUUCAACCCCCACGCAUAUAAUGCGGAGGUGUUCGCAGAAGACGCGUGUUCACACUUAACCUAACGUCUUGGUCCUAUUAAGGAGGUGAUAGCGCAGUGAACGAGGCAACCAGACUAUAAUGCUUUAACACUUUCACUAAGGCGGGGCUACUAUAUAGCCCCUGGUGGCUCCGCACUCUCCCGGAUUCGGGCUGUGUACAUGCCUGAUGUGACGCCCUCGGUUCAAUCGUACACUAAUCAUACACGCAAAUGUGUACGUUCAAGAUCAAGGACUCACGGGAAGAUAUCACAACACAACACUAGACACAAAUUAAAAUAAUACAAGCUUUAUAUUACAAGCGAGGGGCCUCGAGGGCUCGAAUACAUCAGCUUGAAUAGGAACGAGUCAGCGGAAGCAACAAUAUCUGAGUACAGACAUAAGUUAAACAAGUUUGCCUUAAGAAGGCUAGCACAAAAGCAUCUACGAUCGAAAAGGCAAGGCCUCCUGCCUGGGAGCCUCCUAACUACUCUUGGUCGUCGGCGUCCGUCACGUGGUAGUGGGCACCCUCGGGGUAGCAGCCGUCGUCAAAGGUGGCAUCUGGCUCCUGGAUUCCACCAUCUGGUUGCAACAACCAGAAAGAAGAAAGAAGGGGGAAAAGGGGGAACAAAGCAACCGUGAGUACUCAUCCAAAGUACUCGCAAGCAAGGAUCUACACUACAGAUGCAACAUUAUCAAAGAGGGGUUGUAUAUGUGGACUGGGCUGCAGAAAUGCCAGAAUAGAGAGAAGGCCUAGUCCUAUCGAAGACUAGCAUCUUCUGGAAACCACCAUCUUGCAGCAAACAAGAGGGAGUAGAGUAGCAUAAAGUAAAGUGGUAGUAGUGUUAUCAACCUCGGCCAGAGAUCCUUUCUCGACUCCCUGCGAGAAAGCAAUCCCAGAGCCAUACUAUCCAGUUAUCAUCACAAUCAAAUCCUCAUCACCAUCCAGUUCUCAUCACAAUUAUCCAGUUCUAGUUGUAUCGAUCGGGAUACAACUCCAAGUGUCCGAUACCAUAGGACAGGCUAUCGAUAGAUGUUUUCUUCCCUGCAGGGGUGCACCAACUUACCCACCACGCUCGCUUAACUCCGGCCGGACACACUUUCCAGGGUCAUGCCCGGCCUCGGCCAAACAAUACGCCGCAACCCGACCUAGACUUAACAGAGAGGUCAGCACGCCGGACUAAACCUAUGCCCCCAGGGGUCAUGGGCCAUCUCCCCGGAAACUCCUGCACGUUGCGUACGCGGCCGGUGAGCAGACCUAGCUACCUCCUUCAACAAGGCAGGCGCUUGCGCAGUCCAACCCGGCGCGCGCCACUCAGUCGCUGACGUCUAUUAAGCUUUGGCUGAUGUAUACGACGCAGAACGCCCAUACUAUGCCCACGUGAUGGUUAGUGCUAUCAGGCCAGAGGCCCCUCGGAUCAAAUAUCCAAAUCGUAGUGCAUUAGGAACGCGCGGUAACAAGCAGAGACUCACGAAAGAUGCGACCCCGUUGCCCCGUCUCGAGGACUUGCGGCAAGGGCUAAGAAUGCCCGGCCACGCCUUGUAAUUAUCUCAUGGGCACCUUCCAGGUCAACCCGUCUCCACAUCACUUUCCAAGUAACAGUUGUAAAGUCCAAGUAUCCGUGUGUCCAAACAUCAAGAGGAAAACCCAAGGAAUCACCCUCGGUGGGUACCACUCAAUGUAAUCAUCAAGGUGAACGUAGAGGAAUCACCCUCGAGGUUCACACUUGAGGGGUUGCACGACAGAGUCGUAUCGGAAGUGGUUAAAGAGGAAAUCACCCUCGAUGACCACGACCGAAUAGCUACACUACAGGGUUAACAUCAGAAGUGUUGUAGAGGUCUCACCCUCGGCACUCGAUAGUAUCCCAGUAGUGUCGAGCAACUAAGGGGAAUGUGAUGUGCGGUGCCGGGGGCCUGGUCUUCGAUCCCGUUGAUCGGGUCUUCAAUGAUGAAGCAGGGGCAACAAGGACAAGGUGGGGGUCACUGAUGGAUCACUAACCAACCUAUACUAAGCAGUUUAGGAUAAGCCGGCAAGGUAACAAUAAGCAAGUUACAAAAGGAGGCUAUGCAUCAGAAUAGGAGCAAACAAUAACCAUAGCAAAAUCUAAUGCAAGCAUGAGAGAAAGGAAUGGGCGAUAUCAGGAUGAUCAAAGGGGGGGCUUGCCUGGUUGCUCUGGCAAGGAGGGUUGUCGUCGACGUAGUCGAUCACAGGGGCAUCGGCAUCGGUCUUGGGGUCUACCGGAGAGAAGAGGGGGAAGAAACCGUAAAUACAUAGCAAACAGAGGUAACACUAAGCAUGACAUGACGAUACGUAGCGCUAAGCGUGCUCUAACGCGGUCCUAGACGUUAUAGGUGAAGGGGGAAAUCAACCGGGAAGGUGUUCCCGGUUCCGGACCUGUGUCAGACAGAUGACCGGAGGGGGAAAGUUCCAUGUUCAGCAUGCUAGGGGCAUGUGACAGAUGAACGGACCGCAUAUUCGGAUUCGUUGGAUUUUUCUGAGCAACUUUCAUAUAGAAAACAUUUUCAUCCGAGUUACGGUUUAUUUUCUAUGAAUUUUUAAAGAUUAAACCAUUUUCUGGAUUUAUUUAAAUUAACAGAAAGGAUAAAAUGACGUCAGCAUGACGUGCUGAUGACGUCAGCAGUCAACAGACUCGCUGACCAGGUCAAACUGACCGGUCGGUCCAGUGGGACCCACAUGUCAUAGACAGAGAGCUAAUUGAGUCCAUUUUAAAUUAAACAGAGCUAAAUAAGGGGGGUGGGCCCCGGGUGUCAGUGGCUGCAUAGGUUAAUUAACCAUUUUAAAAUACACUAAGGUUAAUUAGCGAGUGGGGCCCGCCUGUCAUUGACAAGGGAUGCCCAGUCAGCAAAGUUGACUGAGUCAACUUAGUCAACAGGGGCCCGCGGGGCCCGCUGGCAGUGACCCAGGGGGGUGGCCCUGACCGGCCACGUCGGCAGGGCGCCGGAGAAGGCUCCGGCGACCUCUCCCGCGACGGCACGAUGCCAGAGACGGCCGGGAUUCGCCUACAGGGGGCCAACACAGGCGCGGGCGGGCGCGUUCGAACAGGGAGAGCCCGCCGCGUCGCGUGGUGAGGCCGGCCGGAGCUAGAGCUGCCGGAAACAGUGCCGGCGACAAGAGUGGCGGGGCCCGAAGCAUGGAGAGCUCACGCGAGACGAAAGUCGCGGUAAAAGGACGACGCACAACUCCUACGACGACUACUCGAAGCCACGAACGCGUCGGUGAGCUCGGCGGACCGGGACGGGCCCUACAGCGAAGGCCGCGACCUCAACAGCGGAGCCAGGGUGCGGCAAUGGCAGCGCGUUGCCCAGGGCUUGCUACAGCGCAGAAAGAGAUCAAGGACGGGGAGAGGAAGGGGGGGUGGAGCUCACCGAGCGGCACGCCGAUGGCCCUUGGUAGUUUAGGAGCGCAGGGGAAGCCGGAAUCGAGGGAUCUCGCCGGCGACAAGGGCGGAAGGGGACGAGCUCGUGUGACGUCAGCGGUGCUUCCCAGCUCCACCUGGGGGCACCAGACGACGGAGUCGACCCCGGCGGAGCUUCACGACAAGACGGCGGAGCGAGGCGGUGGCUGUGGCCGCGGUGACGACGGAGAACGGCGGCGAGCGCGCUCGGGAGAGGCGGGCAAGCGAAACAGGGUGGGGGAAAGAGCAGGUGGAUCAGGGAGGCGAGAGAGGGGAGUGGAGGUAGGUGGGGAGGAGGCCGAGGCGUCGAGGGGGGGAGGCAACCUUAUCCUCCUCGUCGACGGCGAGGCGGUUCGGCGGCGACGCGCGGCGCGCGCCCUCGGUCGGUUGAACAGGGUUACGGGAGAGCGACCGGGGAGGUUGGGCCGGCUGGGCUGGUUGGGGGCCAAGGGGGGCAGGGGGCUGUGGGUCGCCGAGGCCCAAGGGGAGGCCAGGGCUCUCCCACCCCCUCUUCUUUUCCUUUUUUUUAAACAGCUUUUGCAUUUUCUUUUCUUCUUCUUUUAGCCAAUAAAGACUUUGCAAAAGAUUAUGCCAUUGGACAAAAUAAUCUCAAAGAAUUAUUAGGCACUGCCAAAAAAAAAGAUUGUGAGGCUUUAGAAAUAGUUUGCCAUUUUCAUAAAUUAAAAAGGCAUUUAAUUUAUUUCUUAGGCCAUUGUUUGAAGUAGCUUAGGCCACUCAAACCCUGUUGCAAAAAUGUUGGUUCACCACCAAUAUUAGUUGUGGAUUAUUCUGGACAUGAUGAACAUUUUUGUUUUCAUGUCUGAGCAUUUUGAAUUUCAGACAAAAUUUGAAUUUGAAUUCAAUUGGAAUGUGAAAGAACAUGAGACAAUAAUGAUCAGGCACAUGUUUAGCAAAAAGAUUAACUUAACCCCAGGGGUUACUGUAGCAUCAUUACACCGGGGUGUUACAACUCUCCUCCUCUAAAAGAAAUUCUCGUCCCGAGAAUUAAGAGGUAGAAGGGAAAAGAUCGGGGUAUUCAGCCCGGAGGUUAUCUUCGCGUUCCCAAGUGGCUUCCUCUUUAGUAUGAUUCGACCAUUGCACCUUGAGGAACUUAGUAACCUUCUGGCGGGUUCGACGUUCAGCUUCUUUAAGAAUGCAGAUCGGAUGUUCCUUGUAUGUGAGAUCAUCUUGAAUUUCAAUCAAUUCCGGAUCCACUUCACGUUCCGGAUCCUUGAAGCAUCGACGAAGUUGCGUCACAUGGAAGACGUCAUCAACGUGAGAGAACUGAGGUGGCAACUCCAGUUGAUAAGCCACCAGUCCACGACGGGCGAGAAUACGGAAGGGACCAAUGUAGCGAGGAGCUAACUUUCCCUUGACUCCGAACCGAUGAGUGCCUCUCAAAGGAGUGACACGCAGAUAAGCUUGUUCACCAGGUUGAUAAGUUGAACCCCAGUGUUUCCGGUCAUAGUUGCUCUUCUGGCGGGAUUGGGCCGCCUUGAGAUUAUCCCGGACAAUGCGAACCUGCUCUUCAGCUUGUUGAAUAAUGUCCGGACCAAUGAGUGCUCGUUCCCCAGUUUCUGACCAAUUCAGAGGGGUUCGGCACUUAUGUCCAUAAAGCACUUCAAAGGGUGCCAUCUUCAAGCUGGCUUGAUAGCUGUUGUUAUAAGAGAACUCCGCAUAAGGGAGAGAUUCUUCCCACUUCUUACCGAAAGAAAUAACACAAGCUCGAAGCAUGUCUUCAAGAAUUUGAUUGACUCGCUCGACUUGGCCUUGGGAUUGGGGAUGAUAAGCAGUGCUCCAGGUAAUAUGAGUUCCCAUUGCCUCUUGGAAACUAUCCCAGAACUUAGAAGUGAAAAUACUGCCGCGGUCUGAACUGAUCUCCUUCGGAAUGCCGUGAGUGACACAAUUCGGGAGAUAUACAAGGUUGCCAAUUGACUAGCAGUGAUAGUCUCCUUGGCUGGCAGAAAUUGAGCAACCUUCGAGAAUUGGUCGAUGACGACAAAGAUAGCAUCGUUACCUUUCUGAGACUUGGGAAGGCCAGUGACGAAGUCCAUUUGGAUCUUAUCCCACUUCCAUUCAGGAAUCGGAAGCGGUUGUAGAAGUCCAGCCGGUUUUUGAUGUUCUGCUUUGACGUGACGACAAACGUCACAUUCUUCAAUAUAUCGAGCAAUGUCUUGCUUCAUCUUAGACCAGCAGUACUUCUGACGGAUGUCAAGAUACAUCUUGGUACUUCCCGGAUGAAUAGAGAGAGGGGUGUCGUGUGCUUCUUUCAUCACCUUCUCUGUCAUAAGCUCGAACCGGGGUACGACAAUGCGAUCUCUGAAGUAUAAGGUUCCAUCUUCACCAACUGAGAAAUCUCUGGAUUUCUCUAAGGCAAGAUCCUUUUUCAUCAGAUCAACAUGAGCAUCUUUGGCUUGAGCAGACUUGAUUGCUUUCAGAAGAGUUGGUUCCAAAACAAGGUUAUUCAGAGAACCCUGUGGAACUAGUUGAAGGUUCAGCUUGCAUAGCUCUUCAUAAAGGCGGGGUUGAGCUUUGUAGACCUGGUGAUUAUUGCAAUAAGACUUUCGGCUUAGGGCAUCGGCCAUUACAUUAGCCUUGCCAGGUGUAUAAGAUAUACCGCAGUUGUAGUCAGCAAUAGCUUCCAUCCAUCGCUGCUGAUGGAGGUUCAGAUCUGGCUGAGUAAACAGGUACUUCAGACUCUGAUGAUCAGUGAAGAUCUCACAACGAUUACUGAGAAGGUAUUGUCGCCAUAGCUUCAAUGCAAAGAUAACCGCUGCAAGCUCAAGGUCAUGAACUGGGUAGUUUUCUUCGUGAGGACGCACUUGACGGGAGGCAUAGGCAAUCACCCUGCGCUCUUGCAUUAGGACGCAGCCUAAUCCUUGACGUGAAGCGUCACAAUAGAUGACGAAGUCCUUGCGAGAAUCAGGAGGAGCAAGCACUGGGGCAGAAGUCAGCUUGUCCUUGAGUGCCUGGAAACUUUCCUGACAUUUGUCUGUCCAAUCAAACUUAACGCCUUUGUGAAGCAGAUUAGUCAGUGGCUUGGCGAUCUUGGAGAAGUUCUCGACAAAGCGGCGACAAUAGCUGGCCAGUCCGAGAAAGCUUCUGACUUGCUUGACAGUCUUUGGAGGGGUCCAGUCAAGAAUAGCCUGAACGCGCUCUGGGUUGACGGCAAUACCAUCCUUGGAGAUAACAUGACCAAGGUAGGUGACUUCGGGUAACCAGAAUUCACACUUGGAAUACUUGGCAUAAAGUUGAUGCUCUCGAAGCUUUUCCAGAACAAGAUGAAGAUGUUCAGCAUGUUCUUCUUUAUUCUUCGAAUAUACCAGUAUAUCAUCCAGAUAGACUACGACGAACUUGUCGAGGUAAUCCAUGAAUAUAUAGUUCAUCAGACGAGAGAAUGUAGCUGGAGCAUUGGUUAAACCGAAUGACAUGACGGUGUACUCGUAAGAACCAUAACGAGUCACAAAUGCGGUCUUUGGAAUAUCCUCUUCACGAACACGGAUCUGGUGGUGACCCAACCUCAAGUCGAGUUUAGAGAAUAUCGAUGAACCAGCCAGUUGAUCAUACAGAUCAUUGAUCCGAGGAAGGGGAUAUUUGUUUUGAAUUGUAGCUUGGUUGAUAGGACGAUAGUCUUGGACCAAACGGUUCGUACCGUCCUUCUUCUUGACGAAGAGAGAAGGUGCUCCCCAAGCAGAGGAACUUGGACGAAUGAAACCCUUGUGAAGAGAUUUGUCGAUUUCCUCCUUAAGCUCAAGGAGUUCAUGAGGUGGCAUCUUGUAGGGUCAUUUUGCAAUAGGAACGGUGCCUGGUUUCAAGUCGAUGACGAACUCGACAGCCCGGGCAGGGGGUAUUCCUGGAAGUUCUUCUGGAAAUACGUCUUGGAAGUCGCGAACGACUGGAAUCUUUUCAAUUCCCUCAAGAGGUGCCGCGUUCAACGCAUUCAAAGCAUAAAGUCGUGCUUCAGCGUUUUGAACAAGCUGAGCAUGGUAGGUUACAAUCUCAUCUGAAGGAUGUAGGAGGUGAACGACCUUGGUAGCGCAAACGAUAGAGGCAGUAUGCGCUUUCAACCAUUCCAUUCCCAGAAUGAGGUCAAUAUUGGAAGACUCCAGAAUAAUGGGAGAAACAAGGAAUUCCAACCCUUCAAUUUCAACAGGAACGUCGCGACCAAUCAUGGUAGUUUGACAUCAGCCCGCAGGGGUGCGUACCACUAUCGGAGUGUUCAUGGGCUCGCAUCGAAUGUCAUGUGCGUAAGCAAAAUUUUCUGACAUGAAUGAAUGUGAUGCUCCUGAAUCAAACAAAACAGAAGCUGGUACUGAAUUAACAAGGAGAGUACCCAUCACAGUGGCAGGCUGGUCUUGAGCUUCAUUCAGAUCAAUAUGAUUAGCCUGACCACGACCAUAAGGUCUGGCAUUGUUGUUAUGGGGCUGAUUGUUAUGGUCAGUUGAAGACAGAGCCAGCUGAUUCUGAUUCUGAGGGCAUUUCCUGGAGCGGUGACCUGGAAGGCCACACUUGAAGCACAGACCAUCAUUGGGAUUGGGAGCAGAAGCUUGGGGUGGUACAGCCCGAAGGGGCUGCCUCUGCGGUUGAGGAGGCAGACGAGGUGCGACAUAGGACUGCCUUGGUGCAGGUGCAGUUGGACGAUACAUGCUGUGGGGAAUCCAUAUCUGACGCUUCUGCGCUGACGGGCCCGAAGAUGGGCCAGCAUCACGGCUACGCCUGAGGGAUCCCUGGUGUUCCUGAAGACUAGUCUCAACCUGAAUAGCCUUGUUCACCAGGGUGGCGAAGUCGGCAAAGUCAUGAACGAGCAAUGCUACUUAAUAUCAGGGUGAAGUCCAUCAUGAAACUUCUCUUGCUUACGAGCAUCAGUUGCAAUGUCUUCUUCAGCAUAACGCGACAAGUCCAGAAAUUCCCGUUGAUAAGCAUCUACAGUCUUGUUGCCUUGGGUGAGGUUGCGGAACUCUCGCUUCUUCCUGUCCAUGGUUCCCUGAGGAAUGAAACGGGCACGGAAGGCAGCUUGGAAAUCCGGCCAAGUAAUGACCGUUCCAGCAGAUAGGGUACGCCUGUGGCUGUCCCACCAUUGAGCAGCAGGACCCUUCAGAAAGAAAGAUGCGAAGGUGACAUAGCUGGCAGGGGCAACACUAGCAGACUCCAUUUCAUAUGUGAUGUCGCGGAGCCAGUCAUCAGCAUCAAGGGGUUGAGUUGAGCUGCGGUAGAUAGUUGGGUUGAGGCGCAUGAAGUCCUGCAGAGUUACUCGGGUUGGAUGUUGAUUCAUGUUCGGACGAGGAAACUGAGCCAUCAUUCCUUCCAUGAACUGGCGAGUUAACUCAAACUGUUGCCUCAUUCCAGUAAAGAAUUCAGACGGUGGUGGGUCGUUGGCACCACAGCCACGACCAGCGGGUCUAACCAUCCUGCUAACAUGUAACAGGGGUAGUUCAGCAUUGAGCAUUUGCAAAGAUAAGGAUCAGUCAUGAUGAAAACAUGCAUAAUGAAGGAGGUACGAUGGAUUCCACUCCGUAGUCAACACGACAGGGUGUGCACUACUCAAAAAGCUAUUCUAAGGAAUAACUAUGGCUUCAUCCAACUUCGGGGUGAAUGUGGUCACGGGAUCCUAAUGUUAGUAAAUUCAUUUAACCCGAGUAGAAGAGAGUUCAGAGUCCCAGAGUAUAGACGAGGAGUAAAAGAUCCUAAUACCACCCAUAUGGCGACGUGGGCCCGUAAGCCACACAGCCAAGUUAGUAAAACAGUUUUGGACGACUAGACUCAACUCCGGCCAAGGAGUUGGAAAGGGGGCUACCUACAGGCAGUCGGCUCUGAUACCAACUUGUGACGCCCUCGGUUCAAUCGUACACUAAUCAUACACGCAAAUGUGUACGAUCAAGAUCAAGGACUCACGGGAAGAUAUCACAACACAACUCUAGACACAAAUUAAAAUAAUACAAGCUUUAUAUUACAAGCGAGGGGCCUCGAGGGCUCGAAUACAUCAGCUUGAAUAGGAACGAGUCAGCGGAAGCAACAAUAUCUGAGUACAGACAUAAGUUAAACAAGUUUGCCUUAAGAAGGCUAGCACAAAAGCAUCUACGAUCGAAAAGGCAAGGCCUCCUGCCUGGGAGCCUCCUAACUACUCUUGGUCGUCGGCGUCCGUCACGUGGUAGUGGGCACCCUCGGGGUAGCAGCCGUCGUCAAAGGUGGCAUCUGGCUCCUGGACUCCACCAUCUGGUUGCAACAACCAGAAAGAAGAAAGAAGGGGGAAAAGGGGGAACAAAGCAACCGUGAGUACUCAUCCAAAGUACUCGCAAGCAAGGAUCUACACUACAGAUGCAACAUUAUCAAAGAGGGGUUGUAUAUGUGGACUGGGCUGCAGAAAUGCCAGAAUAGAGAGAAGGCCUAGUCCUAUCGAAGACUAGCAUCUUCUGGAAACCACCAUCUUGCAGCAAACAAGAGGGAGUAGAGUAGCAUAAAGUAAAGUGGUAGUAGUGUUAUCAACCUCGGCCAGAGAUCCUUUCUCGACUCCCUGCGAGAAAGCAAUCCCAGAGCCAUACUAUCCAGUUAUCAUCACAAUCAAAUCCUCAUCACCAUCCAGUUCUCAUCACAAUUAUCCAGUUCUAGUUGUAUCGAUCGGGAUACAACUCCAAGUGUCCGAUACCAUAGGACAGGCUAUCGAUAGAUGUUUUCUUCCCUGCAGGGGUGCACCAACUUACCCACCACGCUCGCUUAACUCCGGCCGGACACACUUUCCAGGGUCAUGCCCGGCCUCGGCCAAACAAUACGCCGCAACCCGACCUAGACUUAACAGAGAGGUCAGCACGCCGGACUAAACCUAUGCCCCCAGGGGUCAUGGGCCAUCUCCCCGGAAACUCCUGCACGUUGCGUACGCGGCCGGUGAGCAGACCUAGCUACCUCCUUCAACAAGGCAGGCGCUUGCGCAGUCCAACCCGGCGCGCGCCACUCAGUCGCUGACGUCUAUUAAGCUUUGGCUGAUGUAUACGACGCAGAACGCCCAUACUAUGCCCACGUGAUGGUUAGUGCUAUCAGGCCAGAGGCCCCUCGGAUCAAAUAUCCAAAUCGUAGUGGAUUAGGAACGCGCGGUAACAAGCAGAGACUCACGAAAGAUGCGACCCCGUUGCCCCGUCUCGAGGACUUGCGGCAAGGGCUAAGAAUGCCCGGCCACGCCUCGUAAUUAUCUCACGGGCACCUUCCAGGUCAACCCGUCUCCACAUCACUUUCCAAGUAACAGUUGUAAAGUCCAAGUAUCCGUGUGUCCAAACAUCAAGAGGAAAACCCAAGGAAUCACCCUCGGUGGGUACCACUCAAUGUAAUCAUCAAGGUGAACGUAGAGGAAUCACCCUCGAGGUUCACACUUGAGGGGUUGCACGACAGAGUCGUAUCGGAAGUGGUUAAAGAGGAAAUCACCCUCGAUGACCACGACCGAAUAGCUACACUACAGGGUUAACAUCAGAAGUGUUGUAGAGGUCUCACCCUCGGCACUCGAUAGUAUCCCAGUAGUGUCGAGCAACUAAGGGGAAUGUGAUGUGCGGUGCCGGGGGCUUGGUCUUCGAUCCCGUUGAUCAGGUCUUCAAUGAUGAAGCAGGGGCAACAAGGACAAGGUGGGGGUCACUGAUGGAUCACUAACCAACCUAUACUAAGCAGUUUAGGAUAAGCCGGCAAGGUAACAAUAAGCAAGUUACAAAAGGAGGCUAUGCAUCAGAAUAGGAGCAAACAAUAACCAUAGCAAAAUCUAAUGCAAGCAUGAGAGAAAGGAAUGGGCGAUAUCAGGAUGAUCAAAGGGGGGGCUUGCCUGGUUGCUCUGGCAAGGAGGGUUGUCGUCGACGUAGUCGAUCACAGGGGCAUCGGCAUCGGUCUUGGGGUCUACCGGAGAGAAGAGGGGGAAGAAACCGUAAAUACAUAGCAAACAGAGGUAACACUAAGCAUGACAUGACGAUACGUAGCGCUAAGCGUGCUCUAACGCGGUCCUAGACGUUAUAGGUGAAGGGGGAAAUCAACCGGGAAGGUGUUCCCGGUUCCGGACCUGUGUCAGACAGAUGACCGGAGGGGGAAAGUUCCAUGUUCAGCAUGCUAGGGGCAUGUGACAGAUGAACGGACUGCAUAUUCGGAUUCGUUGGAUUUUUCUGAGCAACUUUCAUAUAGAAAACAUUUUCAUCCGAGUUACGGUUUAUUUUCUAUGAAUUUUUAAAGAUUAAACCAUUUUCUGGAUUUAUUUAAAUUAACAGAAAGGAUAAAAUGACGUCAGCAUGACGUGCUGAUGACGUCAACAGUCAACAGACUCGCUGACCAGGUCAAACUGACCGGUGGGUCCAGUGGGACCCACAUGUCAUAGACAGAGAGCUAAUUGAGUCCAUUUUAAAUUAAACAGAGCUAAAUAAGGGGGGUGGGCCUCGGGUGUCAGUGGCUGCAUAGGUUAAUUAACCAUUUUAAAAUACACUAAGGUUAAUUAGCAAGUGGGGCCCGCUGGCAGUGACCCAGGGGGGUGGCCCUGACCGGCCACAUCGGUAGGGCGCCGGAGAAGGCUCCGGCGACCUCUCCCGCGACGGCACGACACCAGAGACGGCCGGGAUUCGCCUACAGGGGGCCAACACAGGCGCGGGCGGGCGCGUUCGAACGGGGAGAGCCCGCUGCGUCGCAUGGUGAGGCCGGCCGGAGCUGGAGCUGCCGGAAACGGCACCGGCGACGAGAGUGGCGGGGCCCGAAGCAUGGCGAGCUCACGCGAGACAAAAGUCGCGGUAAAAGGACGACGCACAACUCCUACGACGACUACUCGAAGCCACGAACGCGUCGGUGAGCUCGGCGGACCGGGACGGGCCCUACAGCGAAGGCCGCGACCUCAACAGCGGAGCCAGGGUGCGGCAAUGGCAGCGCGUUGCCCAGGGCUUGCUACGGCGCGGAAAGAGAUCAAGGACGGGGAGAGGAAGGGGGGGUGGAGCUCACCGAGCGGCACGUCGAUGGCCCUUGGUAGUUUAGGAGCGCAGGGGAAGCCGGAAUCGAGGGAUCUCGCCGGCGACAAGGGCGGAAGGGGACGAGCUCGUGCGACGUCAGCGGUGCUUCCCAGCUCCACCUGGGGGCACCAGACGACGGAGUCGACCCCGGCGGAGCUUCACGACAAGACGGCGGAGCGAGGCGGUGGCUGUGGCCGCGGUGACGACGGAGAACGGCGGCGAGCGCGCUCGGGAGAGGCGGGCGAGCGAGACAGGGUGGGGGAAAGAGCAGGUGGAUCAGGGAGGCGAGAGAGGGGAGUGGAGGUAGGUGGGGAGGAGGCCGAGGCGUCGAGGGGGGGAGGCAACCUUAUCCUCCUCGUCGACGGCGAGGCGGUUCGGCGGCGACGCGCGGCGCGCGCCCUCGGUCGGUUGAAUAGGGGUACGGGAGAGCGACCGGGGAGGUUGGGCCGGCUGGGCUGGUUGGGGGCCAAGGGGGGGCAGGGGGCUGUGGGUCGCCGAGGCCCAAGGGGAGGCCAGGGCUCUCCCACCCCCUCUUCUUUUCCUUUUUUUUAAACAGCUUUUGCAUUUUCUUUUCUUCUUCUUUUAGCCAAUAAAGACUUUGCAAAAGAUUAUGCCAUUGGACAAAAUAAUCUCAAAGAAUUAUUAGGCACUGACAAAAAAAAAA